UAUUUACUAAGCUACAUACACUAGGAUGAUCUUUUCUCUUGACGAGGAGGGCUAGGGUUCCAGCCGAGAGGGAAGAGAGAAAACCCCAACUUGAACAAAUUUUAUAUUCCAAGGUGCGUGUACAAGUAUGUAUAUCCUUUUACAAAUAUGCAAAUCGUGCAUUUAGAUACCAUAACGGGAUACAAUGACCCUGAUGAUCAAUCACGAGCUUAUCAAGCAUGCAUGCACGAGCGAGGGAGCCCAUGCAAUGGAUGGAUGCAUCAGAUGGGGCAGGUGAAGUUGGUUGGGCACUUCUUGCCGCACUGGUUGAGGAGGAGGGUCAGGUCGAUGGGGACGUUGAGCUUGAUGCCGANNNNNNNNNNNNNNNNNNNNNNNNNNNNNNNNNNNNNNNNNNNNNNNNNNNNNNNNNNNNNNNNNNNNNNNNNNNNNNNNNNNNNNNNNNNNNNNNNNNNUCGGAUAGGAAAAAAUCUGAAAAUAUAAUAUGGAUGAACAUAUGAAAGAAUUAAAGAAACACACCUUGCUUUAUCACUAGGUAUAGAUAUACUCUUUGGUGAAUAGUAACCUAAAAUUGAAUUACGAGAAUUCUGAAUUUAUUUGUCAGCGUGAAAAAUUAAAUUAACUGUAUCAUUUGUCUUUUGACUUGUUUUUUUGCACAUGUCAACACGCUUAAGCUUUCCCAUUAAAAAAAUGCAGGUGGCAUUUGGGUGUGAUAAUAAACACAUAUAUAUUUUUAAAUUUUAUUUGAAGUUGAUAAAAUACAAUUUAACACGCAACAACAUAUAUAUACUAGCCGAAAGUAAUAUCUGUAUAAUGUGUAACUAUUUUGUUUUACUCAAUAUUUUUUUCAACUAAAUCUUCUAGGCUCUAUCUUGUACCACGACGUUCAAGCAGUAUUGAAAUUAGGACCGCCUAUACGUCAGAUAUAUGAAAAAAGAAUCUGUGUCAGCCAAUUUUCUAAGCCGUUGGAUGGCAGGAUCGUCCCUUCGUUCGGCCUCGCACAAAACACAUUAUGACUGACGCAAAAAAAAUACGUGUCCAUCCGUGCCAAUGAGCCAGUAUAAUAAACCUGUGGCCGACACAUGGCAUGGUGGUUGGUGAUGCAGUGGGCCAGCAGGGUCUGGCAGCGGAGAUCGUGGCGCGUUCCGGUGGCGACAGGGCCGACUGGUGGCACCGGCGGGUUCCCACAGGCAGGUUGGUGGCGACGCUGGGAUGGCUUGGUCAUAAUCGAGUCUUGCGAGCAGCGAGCGGUCGGUCACUUCUAUGCAGCGUGGCAAGCGGUGGUGCUGGCCUGGGUUGCGUGGAGAGGCGGGUCUGAUCGCGGCAAGACCGUCCCUUGGAGUGGGUGACGGCCAUUGUAGGCGGUCCUGGACCUGGCUGGAGGUGCUGGUCGGGUGCGGUUCCUUGUGCAGGCUGGGAGUGGAUGGUGUGGCUGCGGUUUCCCUGUCUGGUGGUUGGUCCUUGGUCCUUAGCUUUGCAGCUAUAUCGGCAAGUGUUGCGGUGGCGGCGGUAUGAAGCUUCUUGGAUAGUGCUACCAAGUCCAUGGAGGUGAGGUGGUGGGCUACGCGCGGAUGAAAAUCUUGCACGGCUUAGGUCGAGCCGGUGUUGGUGACACCCGUGGAUGUCAUUUCCUUCCUUGGAGGCAUCGUCGAGCGUGUUUGCCACCUCCUUCGUCCUCCAGGAGCUGUUAGGAGCAUUGUGUUUGAAGACAAGGCUGACUCCUCGUUGCUCUACUUCGGUGUCCGCCGCGGUCCUUGUUUUGAUCCUAAGUGGCACUAUAUAUGUCUGUCACCGGUUGUUCAAGACGGUGACUUUUCGGUGUGGAUCGAGUCCUGUCAUUGAUCUGCAUCUUUCUCUCACGCACUAAGGGUGGCUGGUGCGUCGACAAGAGACACUCUGCGGAAGUUAUUUGGUCUUCGGUGUUGUUCGGCGUCAGUCAAGACGCGGUGCUUUGUGUCGGUUCAGGAUAAGCUCUUUUGCAUUGUAGCUCGGUGGACGGUGCGGUUUAUCUUUAGGUUNNNNNNNNNNNNNNNNNNNNNNNNNNNNNNNNNNNNNNNNNNNNNNNNNNNNNNNNNNNNNNNNNNNNNNNNNNNNNNNNNNNNNNNNNNNNNNNNNNNNGAGUCCAAUUUCUUGCCGAAACAGAUACAUCUUCGUUUUCAAGGUCUGAAACAGGCUGAUAAACAUCCCUUAUGUACUCCUCUGGAGUUAUGACAUUGAUGAUAUUGGUCUCAACAUUUAUGGGAGUACCAGAGAUGUAAUGCUUGAUUCUUUGCCCAUUUACCACUCUAGGAAAAUUUCCUUCCGUGUUAUUGAUUUUGAUGGCACCGGAACGAUAUACUUCCUCGACAACAUAGGGACCUUCCCAUUUAGAGAGAAGCUUGCCUAUAAAGAAUCUCAACCGAGAAUUGUAUAGCAAGACAUAAUCACCUACAUUGAACUCUCGUUUCUGUAUUCGUUUGUUGUGCCAUCUCUUAACCUUUUCCUUGAACAACCUGGCAUUCUCAUAUGCCUGGGCUCUCCAUUCAUCCAACGAGCUGAUAUAAAACAACCACUUCUCACCGGCAAGUUUGAAAUCAAAGUUGAGCUCUUUGAUUGCCCAAUAAGCUUUGUGUUCCAGCUCAAGAGGUAAAUGACAGGAUUUACCGUAAACCAUUUUAUACGGUGACAUGCCCAUGGGAUUCUUAUAAGCAGUCCUAUAAGCCCAUAGUGCAUCGUCAAGUUUGCUUGACCAGUUCUUUCGACAUCUAUUGACGGUCUUUUGUAGGAUCAAUUUGAUCUCCCUAUUACUCAACUCCACUUGACCACUAGACUGAUGAUGAUAAGGAGAUGCAACUCUAUGGUUGACAUCAUACUUAGCUAGCAUCUUGCGGAAAACACCAUGAAUGAAGUGUGAACCGCCAUUAGUCAUCAAGUAUCUAGGGACUCCAAAUCUUGGGAAUAUGACUUCUUUAAGCAUCUUAAUAGAGGUGUGGUGAUCAGCAUUUUUAGUGGGGAUAGCUUCUACCCACUUAGUAACGUAAUCCACAUCAACUAAGAUGUGAGUGUACCCAUUGGAACUCGGGAAGGGUCCCAUAUAAUCAAAGCCCCAGACAUCAAAUGGUUCAAUGACAAGUGAAUAGUUCAUAGGCAUCUCUUGACGCUUACUGAUGUUCCCUAUCCUUUGGCAUUCGUCACAAGACAAGACAAACUUACGGGCAUCCUUGAAGAGAGUGGGCCAAUAGAAACCUAAUUGCAAUACCUUAUGGGCAGUUCUAUCUCCAGCAUGGUGUCCUCCGUAGGCUUCGGAAUGACACUUCUACAGGAUCUGUCCAUGUUCAUGUUCAGGCACACAACGUCUAAUAACACCAUCUACUCCUUCCUUAUAAAGGUGAGGAUCAUCCCACAAGUAGUGUCUCAAAUCAACGAAGAAUUUCCUCUUUUGUUGAUAGGUGAAACUGGGUNNNNNNNNNNNNNNNNNNNNNNNNNNNNNNNNNNNNNNNNNNNNNNNNNNNNNNNNNNNNNNNNNNNNNNNNNNNNNNNNNNNNNNNNNNNNNNNNNNNNCUUGCCGGUAAACGAGGUUGAAAUAGGUAUACGGAUACUGACGAUCGAAUCUCGGGCAAAUAACAUACCGAAGGACAAAGGGAAUGACAUACGGGAUUAUACGAAUCCUUGGCACUGAGGUUCAAACGAUAAGAUCUUCGUAGAAUAUGUAGGAUCCAAUAUGGGCAUCCAGGUCCCGCUAUUGGAUAUUGACCGAGGAGUCUCUCGGGUCAUGUCUACAUAGUUCUCGAACCCGCAGGGUCUGCACACUUAAGGUUCGACGUUGUUUUAUGCGUAUUUGAGUUAUAUGGUUGGUUACCGAAUGUUGUUCGGAGUACCGGAUGAGAUCACGGAUGUCACGAGGGUUUCCGGAAUAGUCCGGAAACGAAGAUUGAUAUAUAGGAUGACCUCAUUUGAUUACCGGAAGGUUUUCGGAGUUACCGGGAAUGUACCGGGAAUGACGAAUGGGUUCCGGGAGUUCACCGGAGGGGGGCAACCCACUCCGGGGAAGCCCAUAGGCAUUUGGGGGGGUCACACCAGCCCUUAGUGGGCUGGUGGGACAGCCCACCAAUCCCCUAUGCGCCAAGAGAGAAAAAAUCAAAGGAAAGAAAAAAAAAGGAAGAAGUGGGAAGGGGGAAGGACUCCCUCCCACCAAACCAAGUAGGACUCGGUUUGGGGGGGGGAGAGUCCUCCCCCUGGCUCGGCCGACCCCUUGGGGAUCCCUUGGACCCCAAGGCAAGGUCCCCCUCCCUCCUCCUAUAUAUAUGGGGCUUUUAGGGCAGAUUUGAGACGACUUUCUCACGGCUGCCCGACCACAUACCUCCAUAGUUUUUCCUCUAGAUCGUGUUUCUGCGGAGCUCGGGCGGAGCCCUGCUGAGACAAGAUCAUCACCAACCUCCGGAGCGCCGUCACGCUGCCGGAGAACUCUUCUACCUCUCCGUCUCUCUUGCUAGAUCAAGAAGGCCAAGAUCAUCGUCGAGCUGUACGUGUGCUGAACGCGGAGGUGCCGUCCGUUCGGUACUAGAUCAUGGGACUGAUCGUGGGAUUGUUCGCGGGGCGGAUCGAGGGACGUGAGGACGUUCCACUACAUCAACCGCGUUCACUAACGCUUCUGCUGUACGGUCUACAAGGGUACGUAGAUCACUCAUCCCUUCUCGUAGAUGGACAUCACCACGAUAGCUCUUCGUGCGCGUAGGNNNNNNNNNNNNNNNNNNNNNNNNNNNNNNNNNNNNNNNNNNNNNNNNNNNNNNNNNNNNNNNNNNNNNNNNNNNNNNNNNNNNNNNNNNNNNNNNNNNNUUCGCCACCUUUGCUCAAAGGGCCCAUUUCAUCUCCUCUCUGUGAGAAGAGUUUGCACCUUCUUCUCAGCCUCAAUCUUAAUAUUUCUAUCGGACAUAUUAAGAAGUGUAGACUUUGGUUUCACAUCUAACUCAUUAGUGAGCUGCGUCGGCCUCUCUUUUUCCACUUUGUAUAUGCCACUUUGAUUCUUGGCCCAGCCUCUCAAGUAGAAUUUAGUGCAGCACACUAAUUAUUAUUGACUGCGGGUUCAAAGUAGAACUUACUCGCACCACGCAUAUGCAUGUUUGUUAGCAUCUAAAUAUAUUUUGAGUUUAAUUCGCGGAUCACCUUAGUAUUUUAUAUAACCAUCAUCAAUUUUCCUUUUUGAUGGUGCAUUAUUGUAGCUUAAGCUUAAAAAAUCCAUCCAAAUGUGUUACUAUAGUUGUAACCCAUUCUACAUAUAUCUAAGAAAUUGAUCACCACUAACUUAUUUAUCUCAAUAUACAAGCAUAUGCCAGAUCACCAUAUAAUGGACAGGAUAAGAUCUACCUCAGCAUGCAACCAUGUAUCAAAAAAGACCCAAUACCACACGCUACCAUGGAGGUCAAAAUAUUUUUCAUUCAUUUUUUAAGAAAAGGAUCAGAUCUUCUAUAAAAGUUCAUCAAAAAUACAAAGCAUCUCAAACAUAAUAAAAAUUAGAAUGAGAUUCCGAAACCACCGAAUAACCACUAUUACUGACAGAACGUGUCGCCGAUGCAUUGUUGUUGCCGCUCCCCUACUGGAGCAAACUUGACACUGACGAUGACAACCGACAUAUCUUCCCGCACAUGCACGUAAGGACCAACACCCUGGCACCAUAGUUGUCGUUAUUGAACCAUUUCAUAGAUCUGAAGCAACAUGCACCAAAUCUCGUCAGAUGAUGAGAAACCCUAACCUCAUCGCGAGGAGAAGACAACAUGAUUCUACGCCGGAGCUCCGUCGACUAUAUCUAGACGGACAAAAACUUAAUGAGAAUGGGAGCCUAAAAAGAAGCGUCACCAUCCUUCCGAACGCCACAAUGAUAACAACACCGCCAACAACAACCAAGCCUUUCAGUCCCAAAGAAGUUGGGGCAGGCUAGAGUUGAAACCCAGAAGAUCUCGAAGCCAAGUCAUGGCUCUGGAACGUGGAUAGCUAACUUCCNNNNNNNNNNNNNNNNNNNNNNNNNNNNNNNNNNNNNNNNNNNNNNNNNNNNNNNNNNNNNNNNNNNNNNNNNNNNNNNNNNNNNNNNNNNNNNNNNNNNAACGUAGCAAGCAAAGAGUAACAAGUAACAAGUAGUAGAAACAGUGCAGCAAGUGUCCCAAUCCCUUUUGUAGCAAGGGACAAGCCUGAACAAAGUCUUAUAGGAGGAAAAACGCUCCCGAGGACACACGGGAAUUUCUGUCAUGCUAGUUUCAUCAUGUUCAUAUGAUUCGCGUUCGUUCCUUUGAUAGUUCGAUAUGUAGGUGGACCGGCGCUUGGGUAUUGCCCUUACUUGGACAAGUAUCCCACUUAUGAUUAACCUCUCUCGCAAGCAUCCACAACUACAAAAGAAGAAUUAAGACAAAGUCUAACCAUAGCAUUAAACUAGUGCAUCCAAAUCAGCCCCUCACGAAGCAACGCAUAAACUGGGGUUUAAGCUUGUGUCACUCCAGCAACCCAUCAUCUACUUACUACUUCCCAAUGCCUUCCUCUAGGCCCAAAUAUGGUGAAGUGUUAUGUAGUCGACGUUCACAUAACACCACUAGAGGAAAAACAACAUACAUCAUAUCAAAAUACCGAACGAAUAUCAAAUUCACAUGACUAUUAUCAGCAUGACUUAUCCCAUGUCCUCAGGAACAAAAGUAACUACUCACAAGACAUAAUCAUAAUCAUGACCAGAGGUGUAAUGAAUAGCAUCAAGGAUCUGAACAUAAACUCUUCCACCAAGUAAUCCAACAAGCAUCAACUACAAAGAGUAAUCGACACUACUAGCAACCUUACAAGUACCAAUCGGAGUCGCGAGACGAAGAUUGAUUACAAGAGAUGAACUNNNNNNNNNNNNNNNNNNNNNNNNNNNNNNNNNNNNNNNNNNNNNNNNNNNNNNNNNNNNNNNNNNNNNNNNNNNNNNNNNNNNNNNNNNNNNNNNNNNNUGGAUAGCUAACUUCCACGCACCCCUGUCCAUGGCUAAGUCGUUGUCGAUAUUCCAAACCUUCAGGUCUCUCUUAACGGACUCCUCCCAUGUCAUGUUUGGUCUACCACGACCCCUCUUAACAUUCUCAACAUGCUUUAUCCGUCCGCUAUGCACCGGCGCUUCCGGUGGCCUCCGUUGAAUAUGUCCAAACCAUCUGAGACGAUGCUGGACCAGCUUCUCUUCAAUUGGUGCUACCCCAAGUCUCUCUCGUAUAUCGUCAUUCCGUACCCGAUCCUUCCUUGUGUGGCCACAUAUCCAUCUCAACAUGCGCAUCUCUGCUACACCUAACUGUUGGAUAUGUCGUCUCUUGGUUGGCCAACACUCCGCGCCAUACAACAUCGCAGGUCGGAUAGCUGUCCUAUAAAACCUGCCUUUUAGCUUUUGUGGCACUCUCUUGUCACAAAGUACGCUAGAAGCUUGGCGCCACUUCUUCCACCCAGCCUUGAUUCGGUGGCCCACGUCUUCAUUGAUAUCGCCAUCCUUCUGCAACAUGGACCCCAAAUAUUGAAACGUCUCUCUCUCCGGUACCACCUGCCCACCAAGGCUAACCUCUCCAUCCUCGUGCCUAGUAGCACUAAAACUGCACCUCAUGUAUUCGGUUUUAGUUCUACUAAGCCUAAAACCUUUCGAUUCUAGAGUCNNNNNNNNNNNNNNNNNNNNNNNNNNNNNNNNNNNNNNNNNNNNNNNNNNNNNNNNNNNNNNNNNNNNNNNNNNNNNNNNNNNNNNNNNNNNNNNNNNNNUGCACUCUGCAGCAGACAACAUGCACAUAGGAGUACUCUUCUUGAAAACUAAAGGAAAGUCUCGUGGCACAGCUCUCAGGUUUUUGUUCAUUAGCGAACACAUUAAGCUCCAAUGAUGGAUGUCACACACGUAACAUGCCAGUACAAUAAUGGUUGCACAUGAGUUUUGGAAAGUACCACGGCAACACGCAAACUAACUACGUCGAUUGAUAAUGACAUGAACGAGGCACUUGCACACCCCACCCGGUCUAUAAGUACCACGCCAAACAACCCAAGAAAACCAUCCCAAGCUAGCAUAGCCUACAAGCUUAAUUAGCCACAUACCAAAGGGCCUCCUGCCUGGGCUCACCGCACCGGCCACGUGGAGGCCCAUCUGUCCCGGUUUAUGCAAGAACCGAGACUAAAGGUUUAGGGCAUUAGUACCGACACUUUAGUCCCGGUUCAAAAAACGGGACAAAUGGCCCUCACGAACCGGGACAAUAGGUCCUUUUUCUACUAAUGGGAUAAGCUCUUUUGCAUUGUAGCUCGCUGGACGGUGUGGUUUAACUUUAGGUUUGUCCUUNNNNNNNNNNNNNNNNNNNNNNNNNNNNNNNNNNNNNNNNNNNNNNNNNNNNNNNNNNNNNNNNNNNNNNNNNNNNNNNNNNNNNNNNNNNNNNNNNNNNGGAUCCAAUAUGGGCAUCCAGGUACCGCUAUUGGAUAUUGACCGAGGAGUACCUCGGGACAUGUCUACAUAGUUCUUUAAUCGGACUAUUGACUUUAGGUUUAUGGAACGAAAUAUCAAGGGGUUUCUAGAAAACAUAGAAGAUUUUCUGGACUCACUUAAAACAGGACAGUAGGUCGUUUAACCGAAAGGUUAGGAUGUUUUUAGUAAAAUACAAAAUAUUUUUAAGAUUCACUUAAAAUCAGGACCGUGAAAGAAACAAUUGGGUUUAUUUGUUUCCAAAAGGUACGACGGACGGGUAGAGACAUUUAUCCUUUUAUUAAUAAGUAUAGACAUAGACUAGUGAUCUAGAAUAAAUGUAUUAUACUCCCUCCAUUUCUAAAUAUAAGUGUUUCUAGAUAUUUUACUACGAACUAUAUACGGAUGUAUAUAGACAUAAUUUGAAUUGUAGAUUCAUUUAUUUUUAUUGGUAUGUAGUUCAUAGUAGAAUAUUUGAAAAAAAACUUAUAUNNNNNNNNNNNNNNNNNNNNNNNNNNNNNNNNNNNNNNNNNNNNNNNNNNNNNNNNNNNNNNNNNNNNNNNNNNNNNNNNNNNNNNNNNNNNNNNNNNNNAAAAAUCUUGCUGAAGAUUUUCUUCUUCUCCAAUGCCACCUUUUACAUCUUGACGUUCUAGCUGAUCCAUCAAAAAUUCAAGGAUGCAUGCAUCGUACUACUGAUUAAUCCGCAAGACAUAGGUACACUGGUAGAUGUCAUAAGUGCCUGCAGGCAUACUUACGUUUUUCUUUAUACAAUCGCAGAUGUUCAUAGCUCACGUAUACACGUACAUACACUCACCUAUAUAAACAUACACACGCAUCCUAUAUCUAGAGGGCCUCCAAGAUAUUGAGUUAGCACAACAUUUGAGAUUGACGAAGUUAUCAGAGACGUUUCAUGGUAGAUGGAAACAUCUUCUUUCACUGAACGAACAUCGCCAUGUGACAUUUAUCGUAAGCAGUUCAAACUUAUUAAGGAAAGAGUUGAAUAAAAAUAGAAAAUUUUGAGCAUUGGUGACAAGUCUAACUGGUGGUCUGAUUCCACCACAAGUAACCUAACUAUUUUACCUAUGCUCAAAUCGCUACUUAAGUUAGCAUAAUAUAUUCUAUAGUGAAUAUGUACAAAUCAUCCAUUGUUGUAUCUUGUUGUGGCAUCUAACUGACUCACCUGUUCAUAGAAGGACACACAGAAUAAUAAUAAAAAGUGAAUUCCGGUUUUUACCUUCUAUUUUAACAUUUUUGACACUACUUACCCGAUUUAACGGGAUUUCAUCCGUUUUAACCCACUUAUCAAAAAUGUUCCCAAAAUUUACCUUGCAUAAAAUUUUGUGAGCGUUUUGACCGAUGGGUCUCAAUUGUAAAGUUCAACUGGCAUGUCACAUCAGUGGGGUUUUUCUCAUGGUUUUUCUGCACGUCGAACCACAUCGCCUGCCAUCUCCUGACCGGUCAGGCUCGAUAUGAUUCCAACAGAGCAGCUCCCCGGAUGGCCAAGUCGCCCAGGUCGGGCCACACCACACCAUCCUCCGUUGUUCACUACACGCAUCGCUCGCAUUCCAAUCACACGCAAGAUCCCGCCAUAGUUUGGCCAAAAAUUGAUGUCUCAUUUGCUAGGAGGGGAAGGACGAGGUAGGGGACGAGCGGCAGGCAAAACUUCAAGGCAUGGCUAUUGGCAAUCAUCGGAGCCAAUACGACAAUCUUCUCCCCUCCCAUGCAUGGCUCCAUCCUCUCCAGCUCAACCCAGGUGGUUAUGUUUUUAUGGCUAGAUUUUCUCUCUGUCCGAGAUGCAUAUUUGAUAGGUUUAGGCUCCUUGUUUCCGGUUCGAAGAAGUAUGGUGAUGAAAUGACCUUACUUCAUAAGUAUGGCAUGAUCCCAUUGAAUAAAUUGUAGGAGAAAUUGUUACUGAUAUAAUCAUGUAUGUUUUUCUACAACAUUGUCAUGUACGGCCCUAAGUAUGCAUGAUUAUGUGGAUGAGAUUAAAACUGGUGUGUAAAUAUACUACUUCGCUUACUUUGAUGUACGUACGUAUCUAAAUACCUAGUCAAGUAGCGAAUGUGUUGACCUGUAGUGAGUCGGUAUAUAUUUCCCAAGCUACUCUGUGCAAUCAUAUCGUGUCUGAACGAUCAGGAAAAUUUAUGGCGAUGUGGUUCGGUAUGUAGAAAAAACAUCACAAAAACCCCGUCGAUGUGGCAUAUGCCAGCUGGACCGUACAAUUGGGACCUAUCGGUNNNNNNNNNNAGGGUAAAACGGAUGGAACCCGCUUAAUGAGGUAAUUAGGGUCAAACAUAUCAAAACAGGGGUAAAAACCGGAAUUCACUCUAAUAAAAAAUUGGUCAAGUUGUGUUAACNNNNNNNNNNCAGAACAUUUAUAAAAUCUUAAACAGGGUAAAUUGUGACGACACAUUUGUUAAAUGGGAUAAAACGGAUGGAACCCGUUUAAUGAGGUAAUUAGGGUCAAACAUAUCAAAACAGGGAUAAAAACCGGAAUUCACUCUAAUAAAAAAUUGGUCAAGUUGUGUUAACUCGGCCUGUGAUAUAUGGCAACUUAUUGUGUAGUAUGUACGCAAGUAUGCAAGAUUGAAUGAAUCAUGAUACAAUCAACGUAUUUUGGCAUUCACUUGCUACAUCUUGUUUCUGUUCUUUUUUUCCUGUUUUUUAUCAUCUUGUGUUAACUCCGCCUAUGUUAUCUCAGCAUAGCCGGUCNNNNNNNNNNGUGUUCUUUUUUUCUUGUUUCUUAUCAUCUUGUGUUAACUCCGCCUAUGUUAUCUCAGCAUAGCCGGUCCCAAGACCGGGUAAAGGAGGAGGGUUGUGAUAGGCGUGGCGAGCCAACAUGAAAAACCCAGCCACUCUUAUGGAGAUGAAACCCAAAGGAAACUCGUUGGGGGCGUAACCCUCUUAGCGACGGGCCACAUCGGAACCCGGGUGUGGUGUCAAAUGGGCAAGGGCCGGGCCGUCACCCCCUUGGUGGCGCGCCGUAUCUUGAUCUGGAUACGGUGAUAAGUGAGCAAGGGUCGGGUCGCCGCAUCCUUAGUGGCGCGCUNNNNNNNNNNAGAGAUGAAACCCAAAGGAAACUCGUUGGGGCGUAACCCUCUUAGCGACGCGCCACAUUGGAACCCCGUUCUGGUGUCAAAUGGGCAAGGGCCGGGCCGUCACCCCCUUGGUGGCGUGCCGUAUCUUGAUCUGGAUAUGGUGAUAAGUGAGCAAGGGUCGGGUCGCCGCAUCCUUAGUGGCGCGCUGCACCGACGCCCCGGUGUAGUAAAAAAUGAGCAAGGGUCUUCGCAUUUGACUCGGCGAGUGCGGAGGGUAAGGAAGUUAGCCGAGCCUAGGAGGAUACGCUUAGGUAGCUGGAACGUAGGGUCCCUAACGGGUAAGUUACGGGAGCUAGUUGAUACGGCGGUGAGGAGGCGUGUUGAUGUCCUAUGUGUCCAAGAGACCAAAUGGAAGGGACAAAAGGCGAAGGAGGUGGAGGAUACCGGCUUCAAGUUGUGGUAUACGGGGACAACUUCAAACAAGAAUGGAGUAGGCAUCUUGGUCAACAAGAGCCUUAGGGAUGGAGUUGUGGACGUUAAGAGGCAAGGGGAUUGGAUGAUCCUUGUCAAGCUGGUAGUUGGGGACUUAGUCCUCAAUGUUAUCAGCGCGUAUGCCCCGCAAGUAGGCCACAAUGAGAGCACCAAGAGGGAGUUCUGGGAAGGCCUGGAGGACUUGAUUAGGAGGGUACCUAUUGGUGAGAAUCUCUUCAUAGGAGGAGACUUCAAUGGCCAUGUGGGUACAUCUAACACAGGGUUUGAAAGGGUGCAUGGGGGCUUUGGCUAUGGCAUCAGGAACAAAGAAGGAGAAGAUGUCCUGAGCUUCGCUCUAGCCUACGACAUGGUUGUAGCUAACACCCUCUUUAGGUAGAGAGAAUCCCAUCUAGUGACGUUCAGUAGUGGUCUACACUCUAGCCUGAUUGAUUUUGUCCUCUCUAGAAGAGAAGACAGACGCGCUUGCAUUGAUUGUAAAGCGAUACCUGGAGAGAGUGUUGUCCCUCAACAUAAGCUUGUGGUUGCUGACUUCCGCUUUAGGAUUCGUGUCCAACAGGAUAAGCAUGCCAAAGUUGCUAGAACGAAGUGGUGGAAGCUCAAGGGGGAGGCAUCCCAGGCUUUCAGGGAGAGGGUCAUUAAGGAGGGCCCUUGGGAGGAAGGAGGCGAUGCAAACUUGAUGUGGACGAGUAUGGCGACCUUCUUGCGGAAGGUUGUUGUAGAGGAGUUUGGGGUGACCAAGGGAAGUAGAAGGGAAGCUAAGGACACCUGGUGAUGGAACGAUGAGGUCCAGAAGGUUAUUAGGGAGAAGAAGGACUGUUUCAGAUGCCUAUAUCUGGACAGGAGUGCAGCUAACAUGGAGAAGUAUAAGGUGGCAAAGAAGGCUGCAAAGCGGGCGGUGAGUGAAGCGAGAGGUCAAGCGUAUGAGGACCUCUACCAACGUUUAAACACUAAGGAAGGUGAAAGGGACAUCUAUAAGAUGGCCAAGAUUAGGGAGAGGAAGACGAGGGAUGUCGGCGAAGUCAAAUGCAUCAAGGACGGAGAUGAUCAGCUUCUUGUGAAGGAUGAGACGAUCAAGCGUAGAUGGCGGGAGUACUUUGACAACCUUUACAAUGGAGAGGUUGACAGCUCUACCAUUGAGCUAGACGACUCCUUUGAUGAUACCAGCAUGUGCUUUGUGCGAUGUAUCCAGGAGUGUGAGGUUAAGUACGCGUUAAAAAGCAUGAAAGUAGGCAAGGCGAUGGGUCCUGAUGGUAUCCCCAUCGAGGUGUGGAGAGGCCUUGGAGACAUAGCGAUUGUAUGGCUAACUAAGCUUUUCAACCUCAUUUUUCGGUCAAACAAGAUGCCCGAAGAAUGGAGGCGGAGUAUUUUAGUACCAAUCUUUAAGAACAAUGAGGAUGUUCAAUGUUGUACUAAUUACCGCGGAAUCAAGCUGAUGAGCCAUACUACGAAGUUAUGGGAGAGAGUCAUUGAACACCGCUUAAGAAGGUUGACAAGCGUGACCAAAAACCAAUUUGGUUUCAUGCCUGGGAGGUCUACCAUGGAAGCCAUCUUCUUGGUAUGACAGCUGAUGGAGAGAUACAGGGAGCAAAAGAAGGACCUUCAUAUGGUGUUCAUUGAUUUGGAGAAGGCCUAUGAUAAGAUACCUCGGAAUGUCAUGUGGUGGGCCUUGGNNNNNNNNNNAUCGAUCAACUGGCUAGCCAACUAGAGGCAUGCUAGGGACGGUGUUUUGUCUAUGUAUCCACACAUGUAAAUGAGUCUUCAUUCAAUACAAUUAUAGCAUGGAUAAUAAACUAUUAUCUUGAUACAGGAAUUAUAAUAAUAACUAUACAUUUAUUAUUGCCUCUAGGGCAUAAUUCCAACAAUAUGGUGUUCAUUGAUUUGUAGAAGGCCUAUGAUAAGAUACCUCGGAAUGUCAUGUGGUGGGCCUUGGAGAAACACAAAGUCCCAAUAAAGUACAUUAUCCUCAUCAAGGAUAUGUAUGAUAAUGUUGUGACAAGUGUUCGAACAAGUGAUGGCGACACCGAUGACUUUCCGAUUAGAAUAGGGCUACACCAAGGGUCAGCUUUGAGCCCUUNNNNNNNNNNCCCUCAUCAAGGAUAUGUAUGAUGAUGUUGUGACAAGUGUUCGAACAAGUGAUGGCGACACUGAUUACUUUCCGAUUAGAAUAGGGCUACACCAAGGGUCAGCUUUGAGCCCUUAUCUUUCUGAUUUGGUGAUGGAUGAGGUCACAAGGGAUAUACAAGGAGAUAUCCCAUGGUGUAUGCUCUUUGCGGAUGAUGUGGUGCUAGUCGAUGAUAGCCGAAUGGGGGUUAAUAGAAAGUUAGAGUAUGGAGGCAGACUCUAGAAUCGAAAGGUUUUAGGCUUAGUAGAACUAAAACCGAAUACAUGAGGUGCAGUUUUAGUGCUACUAGGCACGAGGAUGGAGAGGUUAGCCUUGGUGGGCAGGUGGUACCGGAGAGAGACGUGUUUCAAUAUUUGGGGUCCAUGUUGCAGAAGGAUGGCGAUAUCGAUGAAGACGUGGACCACCGAAUCAAGGCUGGGUGGAUGAAGUGGCGCCAAGCUUCUAGCGUAGUCUGUGACAAGAGAGUGCCACAAAAACUAAAAGGCAGGUUUUAUAGGACAGCUAUCCGACCUGCGAUGUUGUAUGGCGCGGAGUGUUGGCCAACCAAGAGACGACAUAUCCAACAGUUAGGUGUAGCAGAGAUGCGCAUGUUGAGAUGGAUAUGUGGCCACACAAGGAAGGAUCGGGUACGGAAUGACGAUAUACGAGAGAGACUUGGGGUAGCACCGAUUGAAGAGAAGCUGGUCCAGCAUCGUCUCAGAUGGUUUGGACAUAUUNNNNNNNNNNNNNNNNNNNNNNNNNNNNNNNNNNNNNNNNNNNNNNNNNNNNNNNNNNNNNNNNNNNNNNNNNNNNNNNNNNNNNNNNNNNNNNNNNNNNUCUUGUUUUUUAUCAUUGUGGCGUUCGGAAGGAUGGUGACGCUUCUUUUUAGGCUCCGAUUCUCAUUAAGUUUUUGUCCGUAUGGAUAUAGUUGACAGAGCGCCGACGCAGAAUCAUGUUCUCUUCUUCUCGCGAUGAGGUUAGGGUUUCUCGUCAUAUGACGAUUUUGUGCAUGUUGCUUCAGAUCUAUGAAAUGGUUCAAUAGCGACUACUAUGGUACCAGGGUGUGGGUCCUUACGUGCAUGUGCGGGAAGAUAUCUCGGUUGUCAUCGUCAAUGCAUCGGCGACACGUUCUGUCAGUAAUAGUGGUUAUUUGGUGGUUUCGGAAUCUCAUUCUAAUUUUUAUUAUUUUUGAGAUGCUUUGUAUUUUCCAUGAACUUUUAUAAAAGAUCUGAUCAUUUUCUUAAAAAAUGAAUGAAAAAUAUUUUGCCCUGCAUGGUAGCAUGUGGUAUUGGGUCUUUUUUGAUACAUGGUUGCAUACUGAGGUAGAUCUUAUCCUGUCCAUUAUAUGGUGAUCUGGCAUAUGCUUGUAUAUUGAGAUAAAUAAGUUAGUGGUGAUCAAUUUCUUAGAUAUAUGUAGAAUGGGUUACAACUAUAGUAACACAUUUGGAUGGAUUUUUUAAGCUUAAGCUACAAUAAUGCACNNNNNNNNNNUGUGAUCACUGUCUUAGAUAUAUGUAGAAUGGGUUACAACUACAGUAACACAUUUGGAUGGAUUUUUUAAGCUUAAGCUACAACAAUGCACCAUCAAAAAGGAAAAUUGAUGAUGGUUAUAUAAAAUACUAAGGUGAUCCGCGAAUUAAACUCAAAAUAUAUUUAGAUGCUAACAAACAUGCAUAUGCGUGGUGCGAGUAAGUUCUACUUUGAACCCGCAGGCAAUAAUAAUUAGUGUGCUGCACUAAAUUCUACUUGAGAGGCUGGGCCAAGAAUCAAAGUGGCAUAUACAAAGUGGAAAAAGAGAGGCCGACGCAGCUCACUAAUGAGUUAGAUGUGAAACCAAAGUCUACACUUCUUAAUAUGUCCGAUAGAAAUAUUAAGAUUGAGGCUGUGAAGAAGGUGCAAACUCUUCUCAGAGAGAGGAGAUGAAAUGGGCCAUUUGAGCAAAGGUUGCGAAGGUGCACCCGAAGAGAAUUUUGUUUUUCUGGAUUAGAGCACAACAAGUGACAUUCCUCAACCCAGUUCAGAUGAGAACGAGGUUUUGCCAGCCCCAUUUAGGGAUGAAGAGAUGUUUGACACAAUAUCACAAAUGAAGCCAAAUAAGGCACCGGGACCAGAUGGGUUUCCGAUGGAAUUUUAUAAAAAGUGUUGGCAUAUUAUUAAAGAUGAUAUUUUGCAUAUGUUCCAUGAUUUGUUUAAUGGGCAUUUGCAGCUAUUCCACCUUAACUUUGGAAUAAUAAUGGUGUUUCUAAAGAAGGUGNNNNNNNNNNNNNNNNNNNNNNNNNNNNNNNNNNNNNNNNNNNNNNNNNNNNNNNNNNNNNNNNNNNNNNNNNNNNNNNNNNNNNNNNNNNNNNNNNNNNUCAGUUAAACUCAAAAUAUAUUUAGAUGCUAACAAACAUGCAUAUGUGUGGUGCGAGUAAGUUCUACUUUGAAUCCGCAGGCAAUAAUAAUUAGUGUAGUGCACGUAAAUUCUACUUGAAAGGCUGGGCCAAGAAUCAAAGUGGCAUAUACAAAGUGGAAAAAGAGAGGCCGACGCAGCUCACUAAUGAGUUAGAUGUGAAAGCAGAGUCUACACUUCUUAAUAUGUCUGAUAGAAAUAUUAAGAUUGAGGCUGAGAAGAAGGUGCAAACUCUUCUGAGAGAGAGGAGAUGAAAUGGGCCCUUCGAGCAAAGGUGGCGAAGGUGGACCAUGGAGAUGAUAAAACACAAUUCUUUCACAUGAUUGGGAAUGGCAAACAUAGGAAGAAGAAAAUAAUUCAACUUGAACACGAUGAGGAUAAAAUUGUAGGAAAUGAGAACCUAAAAUUGUACAUCUCCGAGUAUUAUAAGAAACUUUUUGGUGCAUCCGAAGAGAAUUUUGUUUUUCUGGAUGAGAGCACAACAAGUGACAUUCCUCAACCCAGUUCAGAUGAGAAUGAGGUUUUGUCAGCCCUAUCUUUAGCCGAUUUGGAUGGUAAACUAAUAAUUGGCUAGGUGUAUAGGCAUCGUAGAUUACUUAUGGUUUCGUCGAAUGUGACAUCAUUUAUUUUCUAUACUUUGUGUUUUGCUCAUAUUGUGAGCUAAUUGUUGCUGCAUUACUUUGCUCUUGAACUUAUUUAGUAAUAAUAUGGUUGCAUGCAUCGAUUGAUGCAGAGUUUGAAGGCUACGUGCCUCCAUUAAAAAAAGUAAAUUCUACUUUGAACAUGCGGACAAUGAUAGUUAUGAUAUGGUGACCCUUCGGACAAGAUUUUGGUAUUUGCGAAUGCUGAGGUGUAUUCCGUCCGGCACCUAGCAAGGCUGCAGGAACCACACCUUAUUUGUGAAGCAUAGGUUUUACCUAGGUCCGGAUCCUUGCAUGAUGACUAACAACACUAACCAUGUUUGUCUGGAAUUACAUUCUCAAGGAGUUACAGAGAUCAAGAACAUGAUGUGCUCGUCAGGUUCGUGGUGAACUCGACGAAUAGGGGGUGGACUCUAGAUCAUGUCCCAUCGGCUAGGCUAAUCUAGCAGUCUUAAGACUUCAGGUGCUUUCAAAUCAAAUGGAAGAUGUCUUUGCUUCCAUGGCCAUUCGCAUAUUUACCAAUAUCUUGGUGGUUAGGCUUUGCCGACUUCCUCAUGGUCUCAUUGUUCUUCUUCCCUAUGGAUUCUUGAUAGCCUUGAGGGCCUUCUGGUAAGAAAUUACCAGGGGUGGCGCAUCCAUGGAAGUCAGUACUCUGGACAAUCCCCCCCCCCCCCNNNNNNNNNNNNNNNNNNNNNNNNNNNNNNNNNNNNNNNNNNNNNNNNNNNNNNNNNNNNNNNNNNNNNNNNNNNNNNNNNNNNNNNNNNNNNNNNNNNNNNNNNNNNNNNNNNNNNNNNNNNNGAACAUUACGGUAAGUAUGGAAAUUCACUUCCCCUCGACACCAUUUUAUUUGGACUAUAUUUUAGAUUCACAAAUUGGCGUUCAACCAGGUUUAAUGGUUCANNNNNNNNNNNNNNNNNNNNNNNNNNNNNNNNNNNNNNNNNNNNNNNNNNNNNNNNNNNNNNNNNNNNNNNNNNNNNNNNNNNNNNNNNNNNNNNNNNNNGAGACAAGUCUGACUCCUCGUUGCUCUACUUCGGAGUCUGCCGCAAUCCUUGUUUUGAUCCUAAGUGGCACUAUAUAUGUCUGUCACCGGUUGUUCAAGACGGUGACUUUUCGGUGUGGAUCGAGUCCUGUCAUUGAUCUGCAUCUUUCUCUCACGCACUAAGGGUGGCUGGUGCGUCGACAAGAGACACUCUGCGGAAGUUAUUUGGUCUUCGGUGUUGUUCGGCGUCAGUCAAGACGCGGUGCUUUGUGUCGGUUCAGGAUAAGCUCUUUUNNNNNNNNNNAGUGUGGAUUGAGUCCUGUCAUUGAUCUGCAUCUUUCUCUCACGCGCUAAGGGUGGCUGGUGCGUCGACAAGAGACACUCUGGGGAAGUUAUUUGGUCUUCGGUGUUGUUCGACGUCAGUCAAGACGCGGUGCUUUGUGUCGGUUCAGGAUAAGCUCUUUUGCAUUGUAGCUCGGUGGACGGUGCGGUUUAUCUUUAGGUUUGUCCUUGUGAUGUUCGUGCUAUGCAUCAAGUGAUAGCUUUUUUCAUUGAAAUUAUGUCUUUACCAGAGUACAAAAGGUAUCNNNNNNNNNNNNNNNNNNNNNNNNNNNNNNNNNNNNNNNNNNNNNNNNNNNNNNNNNNNNNNNNNNNNNNNNNNNNNNNNNNNNNNNNNNNNNNNNNNNNAGUCCUAGUUUCAAUACUGCUUGAACGCCGUGGUGCAAGAUAGAGCCUAGAAGAUUUAGUUGAAAAAAAUAUUGAGUAAAACAAAAUAGUUACACAUUAUACAGAUAUUACUUUCGGCUAGUAUAUAUAUGUUGUUGCGUGUUAAAUUGUAUUUUAUCAACUUCAAAUAAAAUUUAAAAAUAUAUAUGUGUUUAUUAUCACACCCAAAUGCCACCUGCAUUUUUUUAAUGGGAAAGCUUAAGCGUGUUGACAUGUGCAAAAAAACAAGUCAAAAGACAAAUGAUACAGUUAAUUUAAUUUUUCACGCUGACAAAUAAAUUCAGAAUUCUCGUAAUUCAAUUUUAGGUUACUAUUCACCAAAGAGUAUAUCUAUACCUAGUGAUAAAGCAAGGUGUGUUUCUUUAAUUCUUUCAUAUGUUCAUCCAUAUUAUAUUUUCAGAUUUUUUCCUAUCCGACGUUAUAUUUUCAUAUCCAUAUUAUAUUUUCAUAUUGUUGUGCUGCAAGUUCGAAGUUCAUUUGUUGUGCUAUAUGGGAAAAACAAAAAAAAAAGUACUUGCACGAAUCGCGAUGUGGAAUUGGAUGGCUAGAUAGGGGGAUGCCUAGAAGCCUAAGCUCCACAAUAUAUUUUCGUGGUAAUUUGAUGGCACCAAUGCUCCAACGCAAAUUUUAUACAUCAAGGUUAGCUUCUACAAUCUAUGCUGUUAUAGUAGAUGUUUCAGAGAAGCAGUUCCCUAUAAAUUAUUGGUGGUUAAAUUUUUUUAGACAUCAAGAAGCAUUCAUAAUUUUGGCAGCAACAAUUAUAAGGUGCGCCAUACAAGCAUUACUAGUAUAAUAUCCAUGCAUUGCCACGGGCUAUGAAUAUAUUUUUAUCAGUUGCAAACAUAGUCACAAUACAUGUAAAAAUUUACAUGCAUAGAAAUUAUAGCAUGUAACGAUGAGAAGUAAUUAAAAUCCACUUCAGUAAUCCAAUUAAUUAUCUUUUACAAAUAAAGAUCUACUUGAUGUGUUUAACAUAGUUUUGUACAAUGUGAGGAAUGUUGUCUUCAACUUCAUUGCAUGGCACAAUGUGAGCCGCAUCCUUAUUUUGAUGAGUUUUAAAUUGUGUAUAUAUAUAUUUUCUAGAAAUGACUUGUUAUGCUAUGUGACAUUGAUGUCAACGUAUAGAAGCUCCUCCUUUUUACUUUUUNNNNNNNNNNNNNNNNNNNNNNNNNNNNNNNNNNNNNNNNNNNNNNNNNNNNNNNNNNNNNNNNNNNNNNNNNNNNNNNNNNNNNNNNNNNNNNNNNNNNNNNNNNNNNNNNNNNNNNNNNNNNNNNNNNNNNNNNNACAGCUGCCUUCUACUCUUCCCGCACAACCAACCAGACACCAAUUGUCACCGCAUCUCAUCUCCCCGCCAGAGAGUAUCCACCGCCAUCUCCCCCAGACACCUCCCCUCCAUGCCAUGGCGAAGCCCGCCCACUCCUCUCCCCAUCAUCUGCCCUCUCAUCCAUGGCUCCGCCGCCUCGACGCUGAGCUAGCCCACCGGUCUAGCAUCGUGGAUAGUUGGGUCCUCCCUGGAGGUGCAAAAGGGAUCGCAACCGUCUGUUAGUGCUAGCCAUGUAGCUGACCCAUUCGUAUGUGAGUUGCACAACCUCAUGUGGCACUGCGAGGAGGGAUACACCUUCAUCAUCGAGGUUGCUCACCCCAGGCCGAUUUCCGGUGCCAUGGAGUGCACGUUGUCAUGCUAGGGCAGCCGCCAAGGAGAUGCGACCUUCUAAUCAUUUUCCUUGCCCAAACCAUUCAAAUCCGAUGUAGCUGCCAGCAUGUCUAUCGUUCCUAUCGAUUAGCUUUAUGGAUUACAUGAGAAGACUUUUACGUGUGCGCGCGUCGCAACACGUGAUAGGCUUGCAAGCGCAAUCCUAAUCCCCCUAAUUUUAGUUGUGAAGCUGAAUAUCUAAUCUCAUUAAUCCAUCUCCCUUGAUUUUCAGAGCAUGGAUUUCUAUGCAUCUCUCCAAUCUCUUGUCCCAGAUUUUUAGGGAAAGUUUANNNNNNNNNNGGCUGAAUAUCUAAUCUCAUUAAUCCAUCUCCCUUGAUUUUCAGAGCGUGGAUGUCUAUGCAUCUCUCCAAUCUCUUGUCCCAGAUUUUUAGGGAAAGUUUAAUAGCAACCUGAUGAGAGACGACCUCUAGUUCAUGCACAUGCCAUUUCCUCAUACUAUCUGAAGGGAGUAUCAAAAUCAUAAUUGCGUAGCUUUUAGUUUUUUGCUAAAAGUUUAGGCGCAUCAUUUUUUUUGCGCCGGGCAUGAAGGAAAAACAUUUAUCUAGACAUUUGAAAGAUGCAGCAGUGAGACUCUCAUAACAACCAGUUCCGAUUGAACAUACAACCCUUGAACAGGGUGGAGCCCCGCCAUAGGUCCACUAUAUUGGUUACAAAUUUACAAUUCUCUAACAACUUUGUGCCAUUUUUGGACUAUUUGUUAAAACUAAGAUGAUAUUUAAGUUAAAUUAUAUUAACUGACACCCCACUACUAUGAUCGUAGGCUAGUCAUUUCCAUGGGACAUGCAAACUAGUUAUACUAAAAAAUGCAAACUAGUUAUACUAUAUUGGUUACAAAUUUACAAUUCUCUAACAACUUUGUGCCAUUUUUGGACUAUUUGUUAAAACUAAGAUGAUAUUUAAGUUAAAUUAUAUUAACUGACACCCCACUGCUAUGAUCGUAGGCUAGUCAUUUCCAUCGGACAUGCAAACUAUUUAUACUAAAAAAUGCAAACUAGUUAUACUAUAUUGGUUACAAGUUUACAAUUCUCUAACAACUUUGUGCCAUUUUUGGACUAUUUGUUAAANNNNNNNNNNNNNNNNNNNNNNNNNNNNNNNNNNNNNNNNNNNNNNNNNNNNNNNNNNNNNNNNNNNNNNNNNNNNNNNNNNNNNNNNNNNNNNNNNNNGGGACAUGCAAGUUGAUCGUCCUGUCAUGCAAUUAGUCUAUGAAGUCUACGCGGUGCUAGUAUUCUGAUAUACAUUGCGGGUCUGGUUAUUCUAUUUUCUUGUAGUGUAGUAUGACCAGUCAAGUGUUCACAUGUAUAUUUAAUUUUCCAUGUUGGCAGGGUUGCGUGUUAGAAAAAGGCAUAUCUAUAUAUGCACGUCAUUACGGCAGGGUUGCCUAGCUAGCUGUACGUGUGAUGGAUGAACUAGGAUAUACUAAUGUGGAUUCAUCCAGAACUUGCUAUCUCAAGCUGUCUGAAUUUCACAUAUUGUUGGUGUUUCACUAAUCACAUAAAGAUACUACUUGUAAAUUAGUACUUCCUCGGUUCCUGAAUAUAAGUUUUUUUUCUUCAAAUAUUCUACUAAGAACUACAUGCCAAUAAAAAUAAAUGAAUCUAUAAUUUAAAUUAUGUCUAUAUACAUCCGUAUAUAGUUCGUAGUAAAAUAUCUAGNNNNNNNNNNAAAUAUUCUACUAUGAACUACAUACCAAUAAAAAUAAAUGAAUCUACAAUUCAAAUUAUGUCUAUAUACAUCCGUAUAUAGUUCGUAGUAAAAUAUCUAGAAACACUUAUAUUUAGAAAUGGAGGGAGUAUAAUACAUUUAUUCUAGAUCACUAGUCUAUGUCUAUACUUAUUAAUAAAAGGAUAAAUGUCUCUACCCGUCCGUCGUACCUUUUGGAAACAAAUAAACCCAAUUGUUUCUUGAAAUCAACGCACGGUCCUGAUUUUAAGUGAAUCUUAAAUUUUUUUUGUAUUUUACUAAAAACUUCCUAACCUUUCGGUUAAACGACCUACUGUCCUGUUUUAAGUGAGUCCNNNNNNNNNNUCACGGUCCUGAUUUUAAGUGAAUCUUAAAAAUAUUUUGUAUUUUACUAAAAACAUCCUAACCUUUCGGUUAAACGACCUACUGUCCUGUUUUAAGUGAGUCCAGAAAAUCUUCUAUGUUUUCUAGAAACCCCUUGAUAUUUCGUUCCAUAAACCUAAAGUCAAUAGUCCGAUUAAAGAACUAUGUAGACAUGUCCCGAGGUACUCCUCGGUCAAUAUCCAAUAGCGGUACCUGGAUGCCCAUAUUGGAUCCUACAUAUUCUCCGAAGAUCUUAUCGGUUGAACCUCAGUGUCAAGGAUUCAUAUAAUCCCGUAUGUCAUUCUCUUUGUCCUUCGGUAUGUUACUUGCCCGAGAUUCGAUCGUCGGUAGCCGCAUACCUAUUUCAUUCUCGUUACCGGCAAGUCUCUUUACUCGUUCCGUAAUACAAGAUCCCGUGACUUACACUUAGUCACAUUACUUGCAAGGCUUGUGUGUGAUGUUGUAUUAUCAAGUGGGCCUCGAGAUACCUCUCCGUCACACGGAGUGACAAAUCCCAGUCUUGAUCCAUACUAACUCAACAGACACCUUCGGAGAUACCUGUAGAACACCUUAUAGUCACCCAGUUACGUUGUGACGUUUGAUGCGCACAAGGUAUUCCUUCGGUGCUAGUGAGUUAUAUGAUCUCAUGGUCAUAGAAACAAGUACUUGACACACAGAAAACAAUAGCAAUAAAAUGACACGAUCAAUAUGCUACGUAUAUAAUUUGGGUCUUGUCCAUCACAUGAUUCUCCUAAUGAUGUGAUCCCGUUAUCAAGUGACAACACUUGCCUAUGGUCAGGAAACCUUGACCAUCUUUGAUCAACGAACUAGUCAACUAGAGGCUCACUAGGAACAGUGUGUUGUCUAUGUAUCCUCACAUGUAUUUGAGUUUCCAAUCAAUACAAUUCUAUCAUGGAUAAUAAAAGAUUAUUAUGAACAAGGAAAUAUAAUAAACUAAUUUAUUAUUGUCUCUAGGGUAUAUUUCCAACAAUAUAUACCAACUCACUACGAGGUCAACAUAUUCGCUACUUGACUAGGUAUUUAGAUAUAUACGUACAUCAAAGUAAGUGAAGUAGUAUAUUUACACACCAGUUUUAAUCUGAUCCACAUAAUCAUGCAUACUUAGGGUCAUACAUGACAAUGCUGUAGAAAAACAUACAUGAUUACAUCAGUAACAAUUUCUCCUACAAUUUGUUCAAUGGGAUCAUGCCAUCCUUAUGAAGUAAGGUCAUUUCAUCACCAUACUUCUUUGAACCGGAAACAAGGAGCCUAAACCUAUCAAAUAUGCAUCUCGGACUGAGAGAAAAUCCAGCCAUAAAAACAUAACCACCUGGGUUGAGCAGGAGAGGAUGGAGCCAUGCAUGGGAGGGGAGAAGAUUGUCGUAUUAGCUCCGAUUUUGCCAAUAGCCAUGCCUUGAAGUUUUGCCUGCCGCUCGUCCCCUACCUCGUCCUUCCCCUCCUAACAAAUGAGGCCCUGACCGGUCAGGAGAAGGCAGACGAUGUGGUUCGACGUGCAGAAAAACCAUGAGAAAAGCCCCACUGAUGUGACAUGCCAGUUGGACUUUACAAUUGAGACCCAUCGGUCAAAACGCUCACAAAAUUUUAAGCAAGGUAAAUUAUGGCAACAUUUUUGCUAAAUGGAUUAAAACAGAUGAAAUCGCGUUAAAUCGGGUAACUAGUGUCAAAAAUAUUAAAAUAGAAGGUAAAAACCGGAAUUCACUCUUUUUAUUAUUAUGUGUGUCCUUCUAUGAACAUGUGAGUCAGUUAGAUGCCACAACAAGAUACAACAAUGGAUGAUUUGUACAUAUUCACUAUAGAAUACAUUAUGCUAACUUAAGUAGCGAAUUGAGCAUAGGUAAAAUAGUUAGCUUACUUGUGGUGGAAUCAGACCACCAGUUAGACUUGACACCAAUGCUCAAAAUUUUCUAUAUUUAUUCAACUCUCUCCUUAAUAAGUUUGAACUGCUUACCACAAAUGUCACAUGGCGAUGUUCGUUCAGUUAAAGAAGAUGUUUCCAUCUAUCAUUAAACGUCUCUGAUGACUUCGUCAAUCUCAAAUGUUGUGCUAACUCAAUAUCUCGGAGGCCCUAGUAGAUAUAGGAUGCGUGUGUAUGUUCAUAUAGGUGAGUGUAUGUAUAUGUACGUGAGCGCAUCUGCCAUUGUAUAUAUAAAAAAAAACUAUGCGUGCAUGCACUUAUGACAUCUACGAGUGUACGUCUUGCCUUGCGGGAUAAUCAGUAGUACGAUGCAUGCAUCCUUUAAUUUUUUAUGGAUCAGCUAGAACGUCAAGAUGUAAAAGGUGACAUUGAAGAAGAAGAAAAUCUUCAGCAAGAUUUUUAGUUUUAUCAAGGAUCAUCNNNNNNNNNNNNNNNNNNNNNNNNNNNNNNNNNNNNNNNNNNNNNNNNNNNNNNNNNNNNNNNNNNNNNNNNNNNNNNNNNNNNNNNNNNNNNNNNNNNNNNNNNNNNNNNNNNNNNNNNNNNNNNNNNNNNNNNNNNNNNNNNNNNNNNNNNNNNNNNNAGCUGGCAUAUCACUAGUCGACUUAACCCAACUUGAACAACCUUUCUAUUCCAGGUACGUGUACAAGUAUGUAUAUCCUUUUACAAUAUGCAAAUCAUGCAUUUAGAUACCAUAACGUGAUACAAUGACAUUGAUCAAUCAUAAGCUUAUAAAGCAUGCAUGCAUGAGCGAGGGAGCCCAUGCAAACGCCUGACAUAUGAACUGUAACAGUGCGCGCGUAUGACAUGCAAUAGCUACGAGUAAAUCGAUGGAUAGAUGGAUCACAUGGGGCAGGUGAAGUUGGCGGGGCACUUCUUGCCGCACUGGUUGAGUNNNNNNNNNNGGUUCGAUUUGAAAUUGUCCAUUAAGAUGAAACCAAUAUAGGAUUUAAUCUUCCCAGCCACACGAUGCGGAUGAUGCAAAUUCUCACCAUUUCUUAUAUUAUUUCUUUUAUCCGAGAUGUGCCAUAUAGCCACAGUAAAGUACAAUGCGUGAAGAUCUGGUGCAACAUUUAUCCAUUCUAGCAAUCAUUGAUGAAUAUUGAUAAACCUUUUUAGAUUUAGCACGAUAUGAAAAGACCUUUCAUAGUUUGCCCAAAAAUUCUUUGACAUAAUGGGAAAAGAAGAAACAAUGUUCCACAGUCUCAACUCUAUUACAGAUAAAACACUCAUACCUCGUAGGAAAUGUUCCACAGUUUCAUCAAUGUUCCUCACCAGUAGGUAAAAAAUUACGAACCAUUCUCCAUAAGAUGAUCUUCAUUCUAUUUGGACUUUGUAUUUCGAGUUUUUGCUCUAUAUUUUUCCUGUUUCCUCCAUGUUCGAGGCUGAUCCUCUUCCAUCAGAGCUCUAGUACAUCCAGAACGAUAAGGAUUUUGCAAGGUUAUACCGAGACAAUAUAGUGUAGGUGCCUCCAUUCGUGUAUGGCCAUGAUGCGAAAUCUCAGCACCCUUAUGAACUUAGAGGGAUCUUUAGGAUCUUUACAACCAGGUUUUUUGGAAACAUUUCACUAACAACCACACUGUUUCAUGAUUUACCAUCAGUUAAAAACAAAUGGUUCGCAGUCUUAUCCUCCUCCACCGGGAAAUUUGUACAAAGUAUGCCACGAAAUGAGUGUGGGAUCCAAUUAUCUUAAAUCAAAGAUAUUUGCUUUCCGUCUCCUAAUUGCAAGAAUAAGCCGUUUUGAAGGAGUUUCUUACCAAAUAAUAUGCUGCGCCAUGUGUGGGAAGCUGAUCUUGGGCAUCCUGAUCUCCAAAAAUCUCCAUGCGGGAAAUACCUUCCUUCUAAUACCUUGAAGCAUAAUGAAUUGGGGUUCACUAAGAGCCUACAGCACUGCUUUGCAAGCAUGGCUUGAUUAAAAAUCACCAAGUCCCUGAAUCCCAUUCCUCCAAGAUACUUGGGCGAGGAUAGCCAAUUAGAGGACCUCCAAUGAAUUUUUUCCUCCCAUCUUCCAUUCCCCACCAUACUGGAGAUAGGUCUAUUCAUGUUCUCACAUAUUGAUAUUGGAAUUUGGAAGCAGCACAUUACAUAUGUCCGGAUGGCUUGAGCCACCGACUUUAGAAGUACUUCUCUACCUUCUCUGGAUAACAGUCUUAUCAUUCCACCCAUUUAAUAUCCUCCAUAGCCUCCGAGUGAGGAAAUUAAAAUUGCUUGUUGUAGAGCAUCCCACCCAAGAAGGCAUGCCAAGGUAAGUGGCUUGUAGAGACUCAUCUCGGACUCCUACCAUGUUCUUUACUCGUUCCUUCACCCGAUUGUCACAAUGAUGUCCAAAGAAGAUAUAUGACUUGUGCAAGUUGAUUUUCUGACUAGAGCCUUUGUAGUACGUCUCAAGAGCGAUUUUAAGUAUGUUUGUGCUUCUAUUGUCGCCCUUCACAAAAAAUAUGCUAUCAUCAUCAAAUAAGAGGUGGUAAAUAGGAUNNNNNNNNNNUUGAUGUCCAAAGAAGAUAUAUGACUUGUGCAAGUUGAUUUUCUGACCAGAGCCUUUGUAGUAGGUCUCAAGAGCAAUUUUAAGUAUGUUUGUGCUUCUAUUGUCUCCCGUCACAAAAAAUAUGCUAUCAUCAUCAAAUAAGAGGUGGUAAAUAGGAUGGCCUGCUUUUCUGUUCUUGAUUUCUCUAAUGUCCCUUAUUGCUUCUUUUAACUGUAGAAGACAAGAUAAACCUUCAGGACAUAAUAAAAAUAAGUAUGGGCUGAUGGGAUCACCCUGACAUAUGCCUCUAGUAGGUAUGAAAGGGCCAGUUAAGUUCCCAUUUACUUUGACUGCAUAUUGUAUAGAGGUCACACACCUCAUCACCGAUUCUAACUAGUUUCAAAUAAAGCCAAAUUUAACAAGAACCCCUUUCAAAUAAGGCCAUUCAACUCUAUCAUACACUAGUAGAAAAGAGGGCUUUGGUCCACUUGAUAAAAUCCCAUUAGUCUUGGGCCGACCCAUGUGGGAGGCGGGACACCAAUGUUUUUUUUUUAUAUAUUUCCUUUUUUCUUUUCUGUAUUUGUAUUUUCUAUUUUAAAAUAAUUCAGGAUUACAAAAUGUUUCCAUUUUCAGGAAAUAGAGAAAUAAAAAUAUUUUGAGAAAUCAUAAAUAUUCGUGAAUUCGUGAAAUGUGCAUGUUUUUGAAAAACAUUUGGGAAGUCAUAAAAUUUUCAAAUUUAAAAGAAUUCAUGAUUUUCAAACAAAUCUUUGCAUAUUCAAAGAUCUUUCAUGNNNNNNNNNNGAAAUCCCAUUAGUCUUGGGCCGACCCAUGUGGGAGGCGGGACACCACUGUUUUUUUUAUAUAUUUUUCCUUUUUUUCUUUUCUGUAUUUGUAUUUUCUAUUUUAAAAUAAUUCAAGAUUAUAAAUUUUUUCCAUUUUCAGGAAAUAGAGAAAUAAAAAUAUAUUUGAGAAAUCAUAAAUAUUCGUGAAUUCAUGAAAUGUGCAUGUUUUUUAAAAACAUUUGGGAAGUCAUAAAAUUUUCAAAUUUAAAAUAAUUCAUGAUUUUCAAACAAAUCUUUGCAUAUUCAAAGAUCUUUCAUGAUUUUGAAAAAAAGUCCGGGAAAGAAAUAAAGUGUGUGGGUUCAAAAACAAUUAUUAAAGAUGGAAGAAGUUCAUGAAUUAAAACAAUAUUCACGAUUCUGUAAAAAAUGUCCAUAAAAAAUGUAUUUCAGUUUAAAUUGUCCCUGAAUUUCGAAGUUCAUCNNNNNNNNNNAAAAAGUGUGUGGGUUCAAAAACAAUUCUUAAAGAUGGAAGAAGUUCAUGAAUUAAAACAAUAUUCAUGAUUCUGUAAAAAAUGUCCGUAAAAAAUGUAUUUCAGUUUAAAUUGUCCCUGAAUUUCGAAGUUCAUCAAUUGAAAAGAGGUUUGCUGAAUGAAAGUAUGUUCAUGGUUUUCAAAAACAAAUUUAUUAAAAAAAUUGUGAUCUUCAAAAAGUUUUUCCAAAAUAUAAAAAUAUUUAUCAAUUCAAAACAAUUGGUUUAACUUUAAAAAAAUGUUCAUGAUUUCAAAUAAUGUCCGAGAAUAUGCAAAAAAUACGAAUAUAAAAAAUGUACACGUUUCAAAACAUGUCCAUAAAUUGAAAAAAUGUUUAUGAUUUCCAAAUGUGUUCACAAUUUUGAUAUUUUUUCAAUAUUUGUUUUUUUUGAAAAAGACAGGAAAAUUGAAAUUGGAAAUAAUGAAAAAUAUAAUAAAANNNNNNNNNNUCACGUUUCAAAACAUGUCCAUAAAUUGAAAAAAUAUUCAUGAUUUCGAAAUGUGUUCACAAUUUUGAUUUUUUUUUCAAUAUUUGUUUUUUUAAAAAGACAGGAAAAUUGAAAUUGGAAAUAAUGAAAAAUAUAAUAAAAGGCAAACAAGAAAAAAAAUGAGAAAUGAAAAAUUAAAAUGAAAAUGACAUAAUAAAAGAAAAUCAAAAAUAGAAAAGAAAGUGGAAAAGGAGAAAUACGAAAAUGAGAAAGAUAUAGAAAAAUAAAAAGAAGCAACAAAGAAGAAGAAAAUAAAAACUGACUCAACGAAGGUUCUAGAACUUCCGCCAACUGAAAAGAAAAAAAACUAGACUAGGAUGGUCCAAACGCGGGACAAUCUCGGGAGGGGGCUAUGCACCAGCUUGCUAUAGAGCGACCUACAUGCCAAAUNNNNNNNNNNUACUUCCGCCAACUGAAAGGAAAAAAAAUAGACUAGGAUGGUCCAAACGCGGGACAAUCUCAGGAGGGGGCUAUGCACCAGCUUGCUAUAGAGCGACCUACAUGCCAAAUUGGAACAAGAAAGCAAGACAUAGUCAUGCCACAUACGCUUGGUUGUCUCAUGGCAAUCGACAGGUAGCCCCUUGACUAUGUGCCAAGCCACACAUGUAGGUUGUAUCACUAAAGGCUUAAUUAUUCAGCCCGGCGUCAUCGCGCACUUGAGUAUUUCUUUCCUGUGUGGUCUAGAUGGGCUUGAUUUGUGGUCGUGGAUGACACCGUGAAGACCUCUUAUGGCAAGGCCAAGUGCACCGUACUCAUCCAGGCCUCGUAUGAAUAACCUCUUUUUCCUCUUAAUUCUCUUGUUUUAAUACUUCUCCUAGUUUCUAAUUUCUUCUUGUUUCGAAAUUUCAGACAAGCAUGGCAGGUUUGGGCUUGAUCUGAAGAUUUUCUUCCUCGGACCGUAACAGAAUUUGGUUUGUUCAAGAAGCUCAAGUAAGUCUUCUUUUUACCAGCAAAAGAAAGAAGCUCAUGUAAGUAUUUUUCUUAAGAUCUUUUAACCCAAGAAAGGAUAUGUGUCCUUGUUGCUCAAUCGUUUUUCCGAUCUCCGACUAAGACAUCCUGAUAAGAACGGCGCCCAAAUAUUUCACAUGAACAUGGUUCCUAUAUACAAGCUAUACAUUAUGUUUCAAAAGUAUGACAUAUAUAAAUAUGCCAAGUUCUGUUGCUUUCAUGCUUAGCACNNNNNNNNNNGAUCCUGACAAGAACGGGGCCCAAAUGUUUCACAUGACCAUGGUUCCUAUAUACAAGCUAUACAUUAUGUUUCAAAAAUAUGACAUAUAUAAAUAUGCCAAGUUCUGUUGCUUUCAUGCUUAGCACCUUUGGUUAACACCCCCAGGAUAGCAGGUAUACAUUUUUAACCAGGGUAGUUAUAAUUAAUCUUUUUUGCUUCCGAGCACCCAUUGUAUAUAGAGAGAUUUACACUAGGAUGUCAAUACCAUCUGUAUAUUUUGUUGUUGUUGACACUGCCUUAUCAAACUAAAUAAACAAAAANNNNNNNNNNNNNNNNNNNNNNNNNNNNNNNNNNNNNNNNNNNNNNNNNNNNNNNNNNNNNNNNNNNNNNNNNNNNNNNNNNNNNNNNNNNNNNNNNNNNUCCGACGGCCACCUUCAUGGAUAUGUUCUUGAAUUUCUGAUGAAGUUCACAUGAUGUUGAAUCCUUGAUUCCAUCCACGGGGUAGCCGGGACCGCCCUCUAUCAUUCUUCGUUCAUCGGCGGGCGGGGCCUCAGAUUCAGCCACGCUGCUUUUCCGCUUAGAUGGGGCACCGGUAAUAUCAAGUGCAGGAUCUUCCUGGCGCGGUACUCCUCUAAGCUCAUCAAUCUUCUUCUGUUGCUCGUUAAUCCUGGCAAGCAACUGGUUGAACUUGUCAUUCUCCUCAUCCUGCUUCCGCUUCUGUGCUCUCUCUCGGCUUCUGUAAGUGUCUUGGUCUCUGGCAAACCCAAGCCACCACGGGUAAGAUGGACCGAAGCCUCGCAUUCGUCCUCCAUGUUCGUCAUUGCCGAGGACCAGUGUGAGCAAAUCUUUAUCUCUAUCUGCAGUGAACUUUCUUUGUCCCUCCUUAAUUUCUUUCACUAUCCUUUUCCAAUUCUCCCUGGGUAUCCUAAGAUUGUCAUUGCAGAUGAGGUCCCCUGUUUUUUCGUCGCACGACCCACCAUGCGCAAGGAACCAAUUUCUUGCUCUCCAUUCCCACUCAUCACGGAGUGGUUCAGGUACGAUGCCUUUAUCUAUCAGAUCUUGCUCUUUCUUUUCCCACUUUGGGAUCGCAGUCUCAUAGCCCCCUGGCCCCAGCUUGUGGUUAUAUAUCUUCUUGUCGGCAUUUAUCUUGUUCUUUUCUGAUAAUGCCUGGGCAUNNNNNNNNNNCCCUGGCCCCAGCUUGUGGUGAUAUUUCUUCUUGUCGGCAUUUAUCUUGUUCUUUUCUGAUAAUGCCUGGGCAUCUUCUCACUCCUUGUACUCUUGAAAUUCCUUCCAGUGAUUCGCAUGCUUGGCUAGAUACCCCUCGAAUACUGGCACUUUCUUUGUCGUCAGAUAGUUUUUCCAUAGCUUCUUCUUCCAGCUACGGAAUAGUUCGGCCAUCUUCUUUAGAGUCGACUGCUUGACUUUGGCCCUCAGUUUGUCUGCGGCGUCUUCAUUCUCACAUUCUGGCAGGUUGAAAUGUGACAUGAUAUCAUUCCAAAGACUAUCUUUGUACCUUUCGACGACAUAGUCACUAUCGGCUGCCCCUUUGCGCUUGUUCCACUCCCGAACGCUGAUCGGGACGUGAUACCUAACGAGAACUCCGCAUUGCUUCUUGAAUGUGUCAGCAUCAUUCUUAGGAAGCUUGGGUUCACCCGUAGGCAUUAUCAGCUCAAAGGUGUAAUGCGUCNNNNNNNNNNNNNNNNNNNNNNNNNNNNNNNNNNNNNNNNNNNNNNNNNNNNNNNNNNNNNNNNNNNNNNNNNNNNNNNNNNNNNNNNNNNNNNNNNNNNNNNNNNNNNNNNNNNNNNNNNNNNNNNNNNNNNNNNNNNNNNNNUGGAGGCCUAAGAGGGAGAAACAUUCGUCAAAUGAAUGUAUAUGUAUAGAAUAUAGAGCUAUCUCCAAUAUUUUUCACAUAUUACAAGUGAUUGUCGAACUUCAUAUGUAUACCUCGCCGGACUUUAUUAUUUCUUCACCGGCUUAUCCACCGGCUUCUUCAUCAGUGGAGCUAUCACCUUCUCCAUCAUUGGACCUAUCUCCUUUUUCUUCUUUUCUUCUCCUUUUUCUUCUUUUCUUCUCCUUUUUCUUCUUUUCUUCUCUUUUUCCUUCCUUUCUUCUCCUUUUUCUUCUUUUCUUCUCUUUUUCCUUCCUUUCUUCUCCUUUUUCUUCUUUUCUUCUCUUUUUUCUUCUUUGCUUGUGCUGGCCGGAGUGUUGGGGAGGAGGGGGCAUGGGGCUUACCGGCCGGAGGUGUCGACGGCGCGCGGCGAGGAGGACGGCGGCGCGCGGCGAGGAGGACGGGGCGACUCGCGGCGAGCAGGACGGCGGCGGCGAGUANNNNNNNNNNGCCCCAUCGGCUUCAUCUUCGUGUCGCUCGACCUCCAUUCCAUAUCCAUAGUCGUUUAGAUAUGACGUCGGAGAUUCAGCUGGUUCAACGUCGGGGCCGUCUUUGAUUAUAUCUUCGAGAAGUUCUUCCUCUUCGAGGUUCCUGAUAUGUGGAUCCAUAGUUCUGCAAAAAACGGACAUUUGAUUAACUAAUAAACUAACAAACUAUAUAAGAGGGGUUGGAAACUUCGAAGGCUCGUUUUAUAUAGGAGGACCUUUAGUCCCGGGUCUUGGCUAGAACCUAAACUCUAAAAUACCAGCCGGGCGGAGCCCAGUCCCGGACACUUAAGCAUAUACAAUAGCAAAAUUAAACUAGUUCUAUUAAUUUUCUUGCUAAAAAUAAACUAUUAACACUUAAGCAUAUACAAUAGAAAAAUUAAACUAUUAACAAUUAAGCAUAUACAAUAGCAAAAUUAAGCAAUAAUCUAAGAAACACUAUUAACACUUAAGCAUAUACACUAUACAAUAGCAAAAUUAAAUGACAAAAAAAAUAGUUCUUCUUCUUGUAACCCUAAACUAAUUUUUCCUCUUCUUCUAUUUGUCCUCUUCUUCUACUUCUUCUUCUACUUCUACUUCUCCUCUUCUUCUACUACUUCUCCUCUCCUCUUCUUCUAUUUUUCCUCUUCUUCUCCUCUCCUCCUCUUCUUAUUCUCCUUUUUCUUCUUUUCUUCUCCUCCUCUUCUUAUUCUCCUUUUUCUUCCUUUCUUCUCCUUUUUCUUCCUUUCUUCUAUUUUUCUUCCUUUCUUCUCCUUUUUCUUCCUUUCUUCUCCUUUUUCUUCUUUUCUUCUCCUUUUCCUUCCUUUCUUCUCCUUUUUCUUCUUUUCUUCUCUUUUUUAUUCCUUUCUUCUCCUUUUUCUUCCUUUCUUCUCCUUUUUCUUCUUUGCUUGUGCUGGCCGGAGUGUUGGGGAGGAGGGGGUGUGGGGCUUACCGGCCGGAGGUGUCGACGGCGUGCGGCGAGGAGGACGGCGGCGAGCGGCGAGGAGGACGGCGGCGCGCGGCGAGGAGGGCGGCGCGCGGCGAGCAGGACGANNNNNNNNNNNNNNNNNNNNNNNNNNNNNNNNNNNNNNNNNNNNNNNNNNNNNNNNNNNNNNNNNNNNNNNNNNNNNNNNNNNNNNNNNNNNNNNNNNNNCCCGAGUGCGACUUUUAGUGCACACUCGGAGAAAGUUAAUACUUAGGCGAUUCUNNNNNNNNNNGAGUGUAUCUGUAGGAUACACUCGAAGGCAAUUGAGUACUUAGGCGAUUCGUGAUCGCGGCUAAGUCUUCGAGUGCGACUGUAAGGUCGUGCUCAGAGCGAGUUUUUACUCAUGUAAUUGUUAGUGGUGUUGACAUCUACAUGAGCCUCAAUGAGGUUCUGCUACUCAUGUAAUUGUCAGUUGUCUUGACAUCUACAUGAGCCUCACUGAGGGUCUGUUGAGUCCCCAAGUUUAUCUGUAGGAUACACUCAAAGGCAAUUGAGUACUUAGGCGAUUCUGAUCGCGGCUAAGUCUUUGACUGCGACUGUAAGGUCGUGCUCGGAGCGAGUUGUUACUCAUGUAAUUGUCAGUGGUCUUGACAUCUACAUGAGCCUCAAUGAGGUUCUGCUACUCAUGGAAUUGUCAGUUGUCUUGACAUCUACAUGAGCCUCACUGAGGGUCUGUUGAGUCCCCNNNNNNNNNNNNNNNNNNNNNNNNNNNNNNNNNNNNNNNNNNNNNNNNNNNNNNNNNNNNNNNNNNNNNNNNNNNNNNNNNNNNNNNNNNNNNNNNNNNNAGUCUACACUUCUUAAUAUGUCCGAUAGAAAUAUUAAGAUUGAGGCUGAGAAGAAGGUGCAAACUCUUCUCACAGAGAGGAGAUGAAAUGGGCCCUUUGAGCAAAGGUGGCGAAGGUGGACCAUGGAGAUGAUAAAACACAAUUCUUUCACAUGAUUGGGAAUGGCAAACAUAGGAAGAAGAAAAUAAUUCUACUUGAACACGAUGAUGAUACAAUUGUAGGAAAUGAGAACCUAAAAUUGUACAUCUUCGAGUAUUAUAAGAAACUUUUUGGUGCACCCGAAGAGAAUUUUGUUUUUCUGGAUUAGAGCACAACAAGUGACAUUCCUCAACCCAGUUCAGAUGAGAACGAGAUUUUGUCAGCCCCAUUUACGGAUGAAGAGAUGUUUGACGCAAUAUCACAAAUGAAGCAAAAUAAGGCACCGGGACCAGAUGGGUUUCUGAUGGAAUUUUAUAAAAAGUGUUGGCAUAUUAUUAAAGAUGAUAUUUGCAUAUGUUCCAUGAUUUGUUUAAUGGGUAUUUACAUCUAUUCCACCUUAACUUUGGAAUAAUAAUGGUGUUUCUAAAGAAGGUGGAGGCUAUUCGCAUUGAGAAGAUCAGGCUGACUGCUCAAUGCCAGCUUCAAAAAAUUUACAAAGGUUGGCACGAAUAGGUUGACAAAGAUAGCCCAUUCCGUAGUCCAAUCGACCGAGACAACUUUCAUGCAUGGAAGACAUAUCCUAGAAGGGUUCAUUGUUUUGCAUGAAAAGUUGCAUGAAAUACAUAAAAAGAAACUUGAUGGGCUUAUCUUUAAAGUGGAUCUCAAGAAGGCGUACGAUAAGGUCAAAUGGCCAUUUCUUCAACAAGCCUUGUGUAUGAAGGGAUUCAACGAAUCCUAGAGGGAUCAUGUGGGUGCUUUCAUUUAGAAAGGUAGAGUUGGGAUUAAAAUUAAUGAUGACAUAGCUCAUUAUUUUUAGACUCAUAAGGGAUUGAGGCACGGAGAUUUCAUGUCUCCCUUGUUGUUCAACAUAGUAGCAGAUAUGUUGGCACUCCUUAUUGAUCGGGCUAAAGAGAAUGGCCAAGUAGGAGGACUUCCUUGGGGAACGUCGCAUGGGAAACAAAAAAUUUCCUACGCGCACUAAUACGUCCAUUUUGCAUCAUUCUUUCAUGUUGAUAUUUAUUGUUUUUUCGGAUUUUAUAUUACUUCUGGUAGCAUAUUUAUGCCUCUUCUCUCUUAUUUUGCAAGGCUUAUUUGAAGAGGGAGAAUUCAGGCAGCUGGAAUUCAGGACUGGAAAAGGAGCAAAUCCUAGUCCACUAUUCUGCACAUCUCCAAAUACCCUGAAAAUUUACGUGGAUUUUUUCUGGAAUAUAUUAAAAAUACUGGGCGAAAGAACUACCGGAGGGGUCCACCAGGGCCCCACAAGCCCCCACUCCGCCACCAACCCCCCUGGUGGCGGUGGGCAAGCUUGUGUGCUGCCUGAAGGCCCACUAGCCCCCCUCUUUUGCUAUGUGAAGCGUCCUGACCUGGGAAAAAUCAUACGGGAGCUUUUUCGUGGUUUCGCCGUCGCCACGAGGCGGAACUUGAGCACAUCCAAUCUAGAGCUCCGGUAGGACGAUCCCGCCAGGGAAAUUUCCCUCCCGGAGGGGGGGAAUCGUCGCCAUCGUCAUCACCAACACUCCUCUCGUCGGAGGGGAGUCAUCUUCAUCAACAUGUUCAUCAGCACCAUCUCCUCUCCAAUCCCUAGUUCAUCUCUUGUAAUCAAUCUUCGUCUCGCGACUCCGAUUGGUACUUUUAAGGUUGCUAGUAGUGUUGAUUACUCUUUGUAGUUGAUGCUUGUUGGAUUACUUGGUGGAAGAGUUGAUGUUCAUAUCCUUGAUGCUAUUCAUUACACCUCUGGUCAUGAUUAUGAUUAUGUCUUGUGAGUAGAUACUUUUGUUCGUGAGGACAUGGGAUAAGUCAUGCUGAUAAUAGUCAUGUGAAUUUGAUAUUCGUUCGGUAUUAUGAUAUGAUGUAUGUUGUUUUCCCUCUAGUGGUGUUAUGUGAACGUCGACUACAUAACACUUCACCAUGUUUGGGCCUAGAGGAAGGCAUUGGGAAGUAGUAAGUAGAUGAUGGGUUGCUGGAGUGACACAAGCUUAAACCCCAGUUUAUGCGUUGCUUCGUGAGGGGCUGAUUUGGAUCCACUAGUUUAAUGCUAUGGUUAGACUUUGUCUUAAUUCUUCUUUUGUAGUUGCGGAUGCUUGCGAGAGAGGUUAAUCAUAAGUGGAUGCUUUUCCAAGUAAGGGCAGUACCCAAGCGCCGGUCCACCCACAUAUCAAACUAUCAAAGUAACGAACGUGAAUCAUAUGAACAUGAUGAAACUAGCAUGACAGAAAUUCCCGUGUGUCCUCGGGAGCGUUUUUCCUCCUAUAAGACUUUGUUCAGGCUUGUCCCUUGCUACAAAAGGGAUUGGGACACUUGCUGCACUGUUUCUACUACUUGUUACUUGUUACUCUUUGCUUGCUACGUUUCACCUCGCUACACAAUCACCUAUUACCGCUACUUUCAGUGCUUGCAGUUAUUACCUUGCUGAAAUCCGUUUAUCACAGCCUUCUGCUCCUCGUUGGGUUCGACACUCAUACUUAUCGAAAGGACUAUGAUUGAUCCCCUAUACUUGUGGGUCAUCAAGACUCUUUUCUGGCGCCGUUGCCGGGGAGUGAAGCGCCUUUGGUAACUGGAAAUUGGUAAGGAAACAUUUAUAUACUAUGCUGAAAUUUAUUGUCACUUGUCACUAUGGAAACUCUUCCUUUGAGGAGUUUGUUCGGGGUAUAUUCACCACGAACGGAAGCACGAGGAGUUGCUCCUCAACCUGAGGUACCUACUGAAAAUAUCUUUUAUGAAAUUGCUUUGGGUAUGCUUGAGAAACUGCUGGCUAAUCCUUUCACAGGAGAUGGAUCUUCACAUCCAGACUUUCAUCUAAUCUAUGUAGAUGAAGUUUGUGGUUUAUUUAAGCUUGCAGGUUUGCCCGAGGAUGAGGUAAAUAAGAAAGUCUUUCCUUUAUCUUUGAAGGAUAAGGAGUUGACAUGGUAUAGGCUAUGUGAUGAUGAUGGAUCAUGGGGCUACAAUCGGUUGAAAUUGGAAUUUCAUCAAAAGUUCUAUCCUAUGCAUUUAGUACAUCGUGAUCGGAACUUUAUUUAUAACUUUUGGCCUCGUGACAGGGAAAGCAUAGCUCAAGCUUGGGGAGGCUUAAAUCAAUGAUAUAUUCAUGCCCCAAUCAUGAGCUCUCGAGAGAAAUCAUCACUCAAAACUUUUAUGCUCGGCUUUCUCAUGAAGAUCGUACCAUGCUUGACACUUCUUGUGCCGAUUCUUUUAUGAAGAAGGAUAUUGAUCACAAGUGGAAUUUAUUGGAGAGAAUCAAACGCAACUCCGAAGAUUGGGAGUUGGAGGAAGGUAAGGACUCAGGUAUGAAUUUCCAGUUUGAUUGCGUUAAAUCUUUUGUUGAGACAAACACUUCUAGAGAUUUUAGCGCUAAGUAUGGACUUGACUCUGAGAUAGUAGCAUCUCUUUGUGAAUCUUUUGCUGCUCAUGUUGAACUUCCCAAAGAGAAGUGGCAUCCUCCUGUAGAAAGCAACAUAGCCUAAACCAAUCUAGUUGAGGAGAAAAUCAUAGCUUUUAGUGAUCCUGUUGUUCCUUGUGCUUACACUAAGAAACCACCAUCCCCUGCUAGAAUGAAGGAUUAUUCUAAAGCUCCAACUGUGAUAUGUAGGGGUUACAUUAGACCACUUGCACCCCCUGAGGAGAUUAGAGUUGAACCUAGUGUUGCUAUUAUCAAAGAUCUCUUAGCCGAAGACAUAGAUGGGCAUGUUAUUAAAUUCUGUGAGGACUCUGCUAGAAUUGCUAAACCUCACGCGAAAGACAAGCAUGGACCUGUAGUUGGCCUUCUCGUUGUUUCUGUUAAGAUAGGAGAUCACUGCUACCAUGGUUUAUGUGAUAUGGGAGCUAGUGUUAUUGCAAUACCCCGUUAUCUCUAUGAUGAAAUCAAAGAUGAGAUUGCACCUGCUGAGAUAGAAUCCAUUGAUGUCACUAUCACGCUAGCUAAUAGAGACACUAUCUGCCCUUUGGGAAUUGUGAGAGACGUAGAAGUCCUGUGUGGUAAGACGAAGUAUCCUACUGAUUUCCUCCUCCUCGGUACUGCACAAGAUAGCUUUUGUCCCAUCAUAUUUGGUAGACCCUUUCUCAACACUGUCAAUGCUCACAUUGAUUGCAUUAAGCAGACUGUCACAGUAAGUUUUGAGGGUGUGUCUCAUGAAUUUAACUUCUCCAAGUUUGGAAGACAACCCCAUGAAAGAGAGUCGUCUGGUAGAGAUGAAAUCAUUUCUCUUGCCUCUAUUGCCGUACCUCCUACGGAUCCUUUAGAGCAAUAUCUUGAGCAUGAAAAUGAUAUGCAUAUGGAGGAGAGAGAUGAGAUAGAUAGAAUUGUCUUAGAACAACAUCCUAUUCUCAAGAAUAAUCUGCCUGUUGAACUGCUUGGGGAUCCUCCCCCACCUAAGGGUGAUCCUGUGUUCGAGCUUAAAUAGUUGCCUGAUACUCUUAAGUAUGCCUAUCUUGAUGAGAAGGAUAUAUAUCCUGUCAUUAUCAGUGCCCUCCUCUCAGAGCUCGAAGAGAAGAAGUUACUAAAAACUCUGAGGAAGCACCGCGCUGCUAUUGGAUAUACUCUUGAUGAUCUUAAUUAAGGGUAUUAGUCCUACUCUAUGUCAGCACAAGAUUAAAACCGAUCCUGACUUUAAACCAGUUGCUGAUCAUCAAAGGAGAUUGAAUCCUAAGAUGAAAGAGGUCGUUAGAAAAGAAAUAUUAAAGCUUCUGGAAGCAGGAAUCAUUUAUCCUGUUGCUCAUAGUGAUUGGUAAGUCCAGUACAUUGCGUACCUAAGAAGGGAGGUAUCACCGUCGUUCCUAAUGAUAAGGAUGAACUAAUCCCACAAAGGAUUAUUACCGGCUAUAGAAUGGUGAUAGACUUCCGGAAACUGAACAAGGCAACCAGGAAAGAUCAUUAUCCUUUGUCGUUCAUCGACCAAAUGCUAGAAAGGCUAUCAAAACACACACACUUCUGCUUUCUAGACGGUUAUUCAGGUUUCUCGUAGAUACUUGUUGCACAAUCUGAUCAAGAGUAAACCACUUUCACCUGCCCUUUCGGUACCUUUGCCUAUAGACGUAUGCCUUUUGGCUUAUGCAAUGCACCCGCCACCUUCCAAAGAUGUAUGAUGGCUAUAUUCUCUGACUUCUGUGAAAAGAUUGUCGAGGUUUUCAUGGAUUACUUCUCCGUUUAUGGGUCUUCCUUUGAUGAUUGCCUCAGCAACCUUGAUGGAGUCUUACAGAGAUGCGAAGAAACCAACCUCGUCUUGAAUUGGGAGAAGUGCCACUUUAUGGUUAAUGAAGGUAUCGUCUUAGGACACAAAAUCUCUGAAAGAGGCAUUGAAGUUGAUAAGGCUAAGGUUGAUGCAAUUGAUAAAAUGCCUUGCCCCACAGAUAUCAGAGGUAUACGAAGUUUCCUAGGUCAUGCUGGUUUGUAUAGAAGGUUCAUUAAAGACUUAUCUAAGAUUUCUAGGCCUCUUACCAACCUCUUGCAGAAGGAUGUUCCUUUUGUUUUUGAUGAGGAUUGUGAGGAAGCCUUCGAAAUACUUAAGAAGGCUUUGAUAACCGCACCUAUUGUUCAACCACCUGACUGGAACUUGCCCUUUGAAAUCAUGUGUGUCGCUAGUGAUUACGCUGUUGGUGCUGUUCUAGGACAAAGAGUUGACAAGAAGUUGAAUGUCAUUCACUACGCUAGUAAAACUCUAGACAGUGCCCAAAGAAACUAUGUCACUAUGGAGAAGAAAUUUUUAGUAGUCGUGUUUGCAUGUGAAAAAACAGAUCUUACAUAGUUGACUCCAAAGUCACUAUUCACUCUGAUCAGUCUGCUAUUAAGUACCUUAUGCAGAAGAAGGAUGCUAAGCCUAGGCUGAUCAGAUGGGUUCUCCUGCUACAGGAAUUUGAUUUGCACGUCGUUGACCGAAAAGGUGCUGACAAUCCUAUAGCAGAUAACUUGUCUAGACUAGAGAAUGUCCGUGAUGACCCACUACCAAUUGAUGACAGCUUUCCUGAUGAGCAAUUAAAUGUCAUCCGCACUUCACUUAGUGCACCGUGGUAUGCCGAUUAUGCAAACUAUAUCGUAGCCAAAUACAUACCACCCAGUUUCACCUAUGAACAAAAGAGGAAAUUCUUCGUUGAUUUGAGACACUACUUCUGGGAUGAUCCUCACCUUUAUAAGGAAGGAGUAGAUGGUGUUAUUAGACGUUGUGUGCCUGAACAUGAACAGGGACAGAUCCUGCAGAAGUGUCAUUCCGAAGCCUACGGAGGACACCAUGCUGGAGAUAGAAUUGCCCAUAAGGUAUUGCAAUCAGGUUUCUAUUGGCCCACUCUCUUCAAGGAUGCCCGUAAGUUUGUCUUUUCUUGUGACGAAUGCCUAAGGAUAGGGAACAUCAGUAAGCGUCAAGAGAUGCCUAUGAACUAUUCACUUGUCAUUGAACCAUUUGAUGUCUGGGGCUUUGAUUAUAUGGGACCCUUCCCGAGUUCCGAUGGGUACACUCACAUCUUAGUUGCUGUGGAUUACGUUACUAAGUGGGUAGAAGCUAUCCCCACUAAAAAUGCUGAUCACCACACCUCUAUUAAGAUGCUUAAAGAAGUCAUAUUCCCAAGAUUUGGAGUCCCUAGAUACUUGAUGACUGAUUGCGAUUCACACUUCAUUCAUGGUGUUUUCCGCAAGAUGCUAGCUAAGUAUGAUGUCAACCAUAGAGUUGCAUCUCCUUAUCAUCCUCAGUCUAGUGGUCAAGUGGAGUUGAGUAAUAGGGAGAUCAAAUUGAUCCUACAAAAGACCGUCAAUAGAUCUCGAAAGAACUGGUCAAGCAAACUUGACGAUGCACUAUGGGCUUAUAGGACUGCUUAUAAGAAUUCCAUGGGCAUGUCACCGUAUAAAAUGGUUUACGGUAAAGUCUAUCAUUUACCUCUUGAGCUGGAACACAAAGCUUAUUGGGCAAUCAAAGAGCUCAACUUUGAUUUCAAACUUGCUGGUGAGAAGCGGUUGUUUGAUAUCAGCUCGUUGGAUGAAUGGAGAGCCCAGGCAUAUGAGAAUGCCAGGUUGUUCAAGGAAAAGGUUAAGAGAUGGCACGACAAACGAAUACAGAAACGAGAGUUCAAUGUAGGUGAUUAUGUCUUGCUAUACAAUUCUCGUUUGAGAUUCUUUGCACGCUAGCUUCUCUCUAAAUGGGAAGGUUCCUAUGUUGUCGAGGAAGUAUAUCGUUCCGGUGCCAUCAAAAUCAAUAACACGGAAGGAAAUUUUCCUAGAGUGGUAAAUGGGCAAAGAAUCAAGCAUUACAUCUCUGGUACUCCCAUAAAUGUUGAGACCAAUAUCAUCAAUGUCAUAACUCCAGAGGAGUACAUAAGGGAUGUUUAUCAGCCUGUUUCAGACCUUGAAAACGAAGAUGUAUCUGUUUCGGCAAGAAAUUGGACUCCGAUAUUUUGUACGCAAGUAUGCAUGAUUGAAUGAAUCAUGAUACGAUCAACGUAUUUUGGCAUUCACUUUCUACAUCUUGUUUUUGUUCUUUUUUUCUUGUUUCUAUCAUUGUGGCACUCGGAUGGAUGGCGACGCUUCUUUUUUGAGUUCAUCUUCCAGGCUUCGAUUCUCAUUAAGUCUGUCCGUCUGGACAUAGUCGACGGAGCUACUGCGUAGAAUCAUGUUGUCUUCUUCUCGUGACGAGGUUAUGGUUUCUCGUCAUAUGACGAGAUUUGGUGUCAUUGCUUCAGAUCAAUGAAAUGGUUCUAUAGCGACGACUACGGUCCCAGGGUUUGGUCCUUACGUGCAUCUGGAGGAAGAUAUCUCGGAUGUCAUCGUCAGUGUCAAGUUGGCUCCGGUAGGGGAGCGGUGACAGCGAUGCAUCGUCGACACGUUCUAUCAGUUAAGUGGUUAUUCGGUGGUUUCGGAAUCUCAUUCUAAUUUUUAUUAUGUUUGAGAUGCUUUGUAUUUUCGAUGAACGUUUAUAAAAGAUCUGAUACUUUGCUUAAAAAUGAAUGAAAAAUGAUCCUUCCCCAUCGACUCUACUUCCGCUGCGCUACGAGUCGGUAAUGAUCAGAUAAAACCCUGUAUGCAUCUCCUUAGUGGUCCUGGGCGUGCUCGUAGUACCGAAAUUUUUUGUUUUCUAUCGCGUUCCUCUACAGUGGAAUCAUGAGCUAAGCUAUGGGUAGAUGGAGGUUAUGAUCUAGAAUACAUGAGAUGUAUGGGUAUAGCAUAGUAUAAUUUUGUAGUAGAUGAGAUCUAUUGCUGAAAAUUAUAUGUGCGGGUAGUAGAUGAAAUCUAUUACCCAAUAUUCUUGUUGCUUCGCGUGAAUUUGUGUGGUCCUGAUCCUGACGGCAUGGUGGAAUCUUACAAAGUUUUGGCAAUCCGCGAUCCUUUCAUGCUGCUCUUGAGUAUGUUGAUUGAUAGAUCACCGAAGUGCUUCAGUGCUUUUGGGUUCCACCAUAGUUGAGAAAGAUGGAUGUUUCGCAGACGAAAGGGAAAUGCAGAUAUGAUCUGCACGGGGGUCAUGCAUAUGACGAAGUUUAGUAUGGGGCUUGAGCUUUUAUUAUCUCGUGUUUCAUACACCUUGGAAAGUUAAUCUAGCAACUUGAAUUAUUAUACCUGAUGAUGAACGUUGGUAGCUGCAGUUUAAGUCAAAAACAUAGAAGCCAUGUAAAAAUAAAAUUUUGCAUUAACCAAUUAGAGGCGUCUAACUUGAUUUUACAGAAUGUGCAUGAGAUGUGGUAUAACAAUUCUCAUAUUCAACUUGAUUACGUAUGAGAUGACUAUAUAAUGUAAAUUAACAUGACCUGUGUGUCAUGAUUCUGCAUGAUGGCUGGAGCCAUAUGAUUGUCACUUUAAUGACAUGUGUUUCGACAUUAAGUAAUGCAUUUAUUUUACCAGCUAUAGAGAUAGCAAUAUUAUUUGAUGCGUCGAAAAGGUGGUGGCAAUAUUAUCUGAUGUGUACAUAUAUUUGUGCUAACCCUUUUCAAGUAUCCACACAACAUUUUUUUAUAAAUUGUGUACUUUUUCUUGGGUUUUAACUCAUCCUAAGUUGUUGUUCCCAUGAUCUUCGUGGGAAACCGUCUACUAUGUAGCUUCUCAUCCUGAAAAAAGGACCAGUUUUUGUAAGGUUGUUGUGUUCUUGGUUCUUUCACAAAAGUAUUGACUAGAUACUCUGCCUCUUUCUCUGAUAUCGGGCUUUCAACUCUCUAGUUAGGGUCAAAGGCUUAGAAUGUUACUCAUUAUGUAAACGAAUAUAAGACAGUUUAGAUCACUAUUAGCAUCUAAAAUGUUAAUAGUGACUCCCUAUAUAAACCAACAAAAGAACCCUUACGUUCUUUAUAUCAAGAUGGCAUUAGCAAUAGAACACUUACGUUACAAUGGGGCAGAAAAAUACCGCACAUCCUUAAUCCAAUAACCAUGACUCAAGGCUGCAUUCGGUCCACGUGGAUACCGUUUGUGUUGCGGCUUAUCCUCAUUACAACCCUUGCCGACAGUGGCCUCAGUCCUCAAACAACCACAACACGUUUGAAUGUGAUCAAUCCUAACGUGUAUUGCUCUCUCUCGGCAUCAAAUGAGAAAUCUUCUUUAUUUUCCCCUUGCAAGGUUUUGUCGAGGCUUGCUUGCGAGGCUAUAGAUGAUUUGUUUUGUCUCCAAUGUGGUUUUGCUAAGGUGCGAUUUCUAUUCCGUUACUACACUGUUUUCAAAGAAAGACGAACCGUGAGCUAUUGAUUAAGAUGGCAACCUAAAUAAUAUUUUAAAAGUGUUUAACAGGUAAAACAAAAUCACAUUCAGAUUCUAUAAUUCUUCUAAUUAAUCUUCAUCUAUAACAUGUCAAAAUUGAAGUUCGGGUUUAAAAGAUAUGGAUGUUCUUAAAAGUAUUUUAAUCAGCCCAUGGAGUUUGGGUUUAUUGAACAAAAUAUCGUUCUGAAAAACAUAGAAGAUUUUCUGGAGUCACUCAAAACAGGACAGUGGGUCGUUUAACCGAAAGGUUAAGAAGUUUUCAGUUAAAAAAAUAAAUAUUUUUUAUAUUCACUUAAAACCAGGACCGUGCGUUGAUUUCAUGAAACAAUAGGGUUUUUUCUUUGCAAAAGGCGCGACGGAUGGGUAGAAACAUUUCUCCUUUUAUUAGUAGGUAAAGACUAGUGAUCAAGAAUGUAUUAUACUCCCUUCAUUUCUAAAUAUAAGUGUUUUUAGAGAUUUCACUAAAAACUAUAUACGGAUGUAUAUAGACACAAUUUAGAUUGUAGAUUCAUUCAUUUUGCUUAAUAAUGGAGGAAGUAUUAGUUUACAGAUGUAGUGUCUUUAUGUGGCUAGCGAAAUACCAACAAUAUCUACAUGAUUAAAUGGAUGUGCCUAUAUGUGCAAUUCAGAGAGCUUGAGAGAGCAAGUUUUGGAUGAAUCCACCUUACUAUAUCCUAGUACAUCCAUCACACGUACAGCUAGCUAGGGAACCCUGACGCAAUGACGUGCAUAUAUAGAUAUGAGGCAACCCUGCCGACAUGGAAAACUAUAUGUCCAUGUGAACACUUGACUGGUCAUACUACACUACAAGAAAAUAGAAUAACCACACACGCAAUGUAUAUCAGAAUACCAGCACCGCGUAGACUUCACUAAUUGCAUGACAGGUCGAUCGACUUGCAUGUCCCAUGGAAAUGACUGGCCUAGGAUCACAGCAGUGGGGUGUCAGUUCGUAAAAUUUAACUUAAGUACCAUCUUAGUUUUAACAAAUAGUCCUAAAAUGGCACAAAGUUGUCAGAGAAUUAUAGCGAAUAUAGUAUAAAGUAGUUUGCAUUUUUUAGAGGAGUGCCACAGCCAUGGCAGUAUGGCACCUCAAGAUCUGCAGCUGUUUCGUGUAUUGGAGCUAAAUAAUGAGUGCAACAUUUCGGUGUCCUCUGCAUCCGGUUAGGAAAAAAAUCAUAAAAAACUUCAAAAAAUGCCAAUAAAAUCAAAAAAAAUCUCAUGGUAGAAAAGUUUUUGCGUGAGGUCCGCUCCAAUUUUUAGAUUAUUUGAACAUCUGAUAAGCUCUCAGCAAAAAAGAUAAAUUGGAUCAGAACAGUGUAUGAACCAUAACUUUUUUAUGAACCCUGAAUUUGUCUUUUUUUCUGAGAGAUGCUGAGAUGUUUAAAUGAUUUAAAAACUGAAGGGGCCUUUACCAUCAAAUUAUCUACAACGUAAAAAAAUCUAGUAUUUGUUUUGAUUUUAUUUUCUUCGGCGCGGGGUGCAGAUGAGCCUGGGCUCGGAAGUGGAUUAUCGCUAAAUAAUAUGUUGUUUUGUCAAAAGAAAGAUAGGACCCCCAGCCUCUGCAACCUCUGCAUUAUGAUGAUGCACACAACCAUAUUUAUUAAAGUUGAUGUAAGGGGCAGAGAACAAAAUUAUCAAUAAGUGUAGUACAUAACUAUUACAAGAUGUGAAUUUAACACUUAGGACUAAAUCGACUUCUUUCGCAAGACUUCAGUAAGGAAAAGACGCCCUCACAUCAUCGUCAUCACAUUCGACCGGAGACGUCUAGGACACGAAUUUCCAUCCUAGUAGCCCAACCAAGGCCGGGCGGGUCGCUGUUGGAUAUGAAUCCUGCAACUACCCUUGUUGGGCCAGUGGCUCCAGUCGAAGGCGCGAGAUGGCACAACUGCCCCGUCUACUUUAACGGGACCAUGAAGGCGCCUCAAAGCGCCAGCAUCACUCGCCAUGAGGAGCUCUCGAAGAUGGACUUGAGAGAAGGGGAGCGCUUACACGAUUUUGCUCAAGGAGAGGGGGAGCGCUUACACGAUUUUGCUCAAGGAGAGGGUGCAUCGUAAAAUCGCACGGUCUCCUAGAUUAGGGGGUAUUAACCUGGUCGGUCCACGCUCCUCGAAUUGGGCCGAUGGGCCAUCAUCCUACUCGAGGUGGACUCCGGAAGCUGCACAUUGGGUGUUAUCAAGGUUACAUCUGCCGAAGGCUUGACAUAUACUUCAAGACUCCUCCUCCCGCCUCUAUGUUAGGAUACCGACCUUGUAGCCCUAGAUAUCCUACGUAGGGUUUUACCUUCAUCAAGAGGGCUCGAACCUGGAUAAACAUCGUCUCCCUGUUCCUGUUAUCAUUUGUCCAACAUCAACAGCUUGGGGCCUCCUACCCCGAGGUCUACCGGUUUUCACACCCACUGUGUUCUCUCAAGAAAAAAAUGCUAUAUUUUUUUAACCGGUCUAACCCCCUUUCCAUUACUUGAAUAACGAAAUACAUCAGAUCCUAGAGUUCAACAGGAGGAGGGAAAGGAGAUAGAGCGAGUUCAACCAUUGCUAGGAAACCCACUGUGACCGCUCGUCAUCGAAUCGAUCACUGCGAGACGAAAACCUAGCUACAAUAUCCUAGCGGGAGAAGUAUCAUUCCUAUUACAACCUAGGAAUAAUAGGUACAAAAGAGAUAAUAGACUAAACAGUUUUUAAGUAUGUCAGAACACCACAAAAAGACUGCCAGCAGCCACCCUUGCAAAAGUGCAUCGUCCCCAUACCUCCGCUGUUCAUCCACGGCCAGCAUUGCACAGCCUCAUCAGUGACACAGUCCCCGCCCGAACAACUUCAGUUCCGGUUCGCAUCCUCUUCAUGUCGCCUGCUGGCUGCAAACCUGCCCAAUAAAGAAGGAAAGAGCAAUCAGUAAACACAAUCUCAAAUGAAGAUUUGAUCGGUUUUUUCUCCAAGGUAGGUGGAUUCCGAGCUAACCAAAUAGCCCAGGUAAUUGCAGCCAAGCCCACCGUAUAGAAUUUAUCAUCUCCAGGCAUGAAACAAUGGGACCAGGCAAAGUAUUGUCAGUGGUUGUUGGGUCCAAAAUAUGUCCCCAAACAAACCCCAGCCGAACGCCAUAACGCCAUAACUCUACAAAAAAGUGAUAUAAUGUGUAACUAUUUUGUUCAAGUCGAGCAGAUGGACUCUAUCUUGCACCAUAGCGUUUAAGCAGUAUUGAAAUUAGGUCCGCCUAUACAUCAAGUAUCUUGGGAAAAAAAACUGCAUCGAUCAAUUUUCCCAGCAGUUGGAUGGCACGAUCGUGGCACCACCUAUUAUCGUUUUCGCCCCUCACAUCGUACCUCCGUUCGGCCUCGCACAAAACAAAUUGUGUCUGACGCAAAGAAAAAAUGUAGGUACCUGAUGUUUAUCUAAACAAAUUGUGUGUUGGAUUAACUACUUAUUAUACAACAAGCUGAAGGUAUGUGUCCAGCCGUGCCAACGAGCCCGUACGGAAGAUAUAAUAGACACAUGAAAUCAAAGACAUACAGCUCGGAUAUGCGUCUCCCGUGAACGUGAUGAUCAGGGUAAGCCAGCUCCUAGAGCUGCCNNNNNNNNNNACAGAUGGACUCUAUCUUGCACCACAGCGUUUAAGCAGUAUUGAAAUUAGGUCGAGCAUAUGGUUUUCGCCCCUCACAUCGUACCUUCGUUCGGCCUCGCACAAAACAAAUUGUGACUGACGCAAAAAAAAAAUUCAGGUACCUGAUGUUUAUCAAAUGUGUGGAAUUCUUCGUCGGCACAACCAAUGGCGUCCUGGAUUAACUAAUUAUUAUACAACAAGCUGAAGGUAUGUGUCCAGCCGUGCCAACGAGCCCGUACGGAAGAUAUAAUGGACACAUGAAAUCAAAAAACCAUACAGCUCGUAUAUGUGUCUCCCGUGAACGUGAUGAUCAGGGUAAGCCAGCUCCGAGAGCUGCCAUGCCAGAUAUAUAUAUUCCUUUGUCCGAUGCGAUGCUCUAGAUUAUUUUGGCUCCACACUCGUAAAUCCAUCAAAUAUUUAUGUGCACUCUGCAGCAGACAACAUGCACAUAGGAGUACUCUUCUUGAAAANNNNNNNNNNUUUGAGAGCUCCCGUGAACCUUUGUCCGAUGUGAUGCUCUAAAUUAUUUUGGCUCCACACUCGUAAACCCAUCAAAUAUUUAUUUGCACUCUGCAGCAGACAACAUGCACAUAGGAGUACUCUUCUUGAAAACUAAAGGAAAGUCUCGUGGCACAGCUCUCAGGUUUUUGUUCAUUAGCGAACACAUUAAGCUCUAAUGAUGGAUGUCACACGUAACAUGCCAGUACAAUAAUGGUUGCACAUGAGUUUUGGAAAUUACCACGGCAACAGGCAAACUAACUACGUCGAUUGAUAAUGACAUGAACGAGGCACUUGCACNNNNNNNNNNCAAUGAUGGAUGUCACACACGUAACAUGCCAGUACAAUAAUGGUUGCACAUGAGUUUUGGAAAGUACCACGGCAACACGCAAACUAACUACGUCGAUUGAUAAUGACAUGAACGAGGCACUUGCACNNNNNNNNNNCUCGAUUGAUGAUGACAUGAAGGCACUUGCACACCACACCCGGUCUAUAAGUACCACCCCCAAACAACCCAAGAAAACCAUCCCAAGCUAGCAUACCCUACAAGCUUAAUUAGCCACAUACCAGCACAAACGAUCAGUAGCAAUNNNNNNNNNNUCUGUCCCAACAGCACUUGCACACCCCACCCGGUCUAUAAGUACCACCCCAAACAACCCAAGAAAACCAUCCCAAGCUAGCAUAGCCUACAAGCUUAAUUAGCCACAUACCAAAGGGCCUCCUGCCUGGGCUCACCGCACCGGCCACGUGGAGGCCCAUCUGUCCCGGUUUAUGCAAGAACCGAGACUAAAGGUUUAGGGCAUUAGUACCGACACUUUAGUCCCGGUUCAAAAAACGGGACAAAUGGCCCUCACGAACCGGGACAAUAGGUCCUUUUUCUACUAAUGGGAUAAGCUCUUUUGCAUUGUAGCUCGCUGGACGGUGUGGUUUAACUUUAGGUUUGUCCUUGUGAUGUUCGUGCUAUGCAUCAAGUGAUAGCUNNNNNNNNNNNNNNNNNNNNNNNNNNNNNNNNNNNNNNNNNNNNNNNNCUGGACACAUGGAAUCAAAACCGUACGAGACUCCUAUAUGUGUCUCCCGUGAACGUGAUGAUCAGGGUAAGCCAGCUCCUAGAGCUGCCAUGCCAGAUAUAUGUAUAUAUUCCUUUGUCCGAUCCGGUGCUCCAGAUUAUUAUGGCCACACUUGUAAGCCCAUCAAAUAUUUAUGUACACACAGCAGACAACAUGCAUAUAGGAGUANNNNNNNNNNAUGGACACAUGGAAUCAAAAUCGUACGACUCCUAUUUGUGUCUCCGUGAACGUGAUGAUCAGGGUAAGCCAGCUCCUAGAGCUGCCAUGCCAGAUAUAUCUAUUCCUUUGUCCGAUCCUGUGCUCCAGAUUAUUAUGGCCACACUUGUAAGCCAUCAAAUAUUUAUGUACACACAGCAGACAACAUGCAUAUAGGAGUACUCUUCUUGGAAACAAAAGGAAACUCUCAUGGCACAGCUCUCAAGUUUUUGUUCAUUAGCGAACAGAUUAAGCUCCAAUGAUGGAUGUCACACCCGUAACAUGCGAGUACAAUAAUGGUUGCACAUGAGUUUUGGAAAUUACCACGGCAAGAUUGAAACUAAUUACGUCGAUUGAUAAUGACAUGAACGAGGCAUUUGUUGGAAAUAAGUCGUGACGGAGCACGGUGCGACCGGCGUCGAUGCGUCGGGUCGGGUCCGUGACGGUGCGACCGACGUUGGUGCGUCGGGUCGGGUUCCGCAGGCUGGGUUACGACAACAUUGUGUGCAUGUACGUGUGGCGUGUGUGUAGUGCAGCGCAAAGCGUGCGUGGUCGCCAAGGCAGCUCGAGCUGGCCGUUAGCACGUUGUGCGCCUCGUGCGUGCUGGCCGGGCGGAUCGCUAGCUCUAGGUGCGUGCGUGCGUAGGAGACGUGGACGCUGCGUACCUGUAGGACUACAAAGCCGCGGACGCGAACAUGUAUUCAUCAGGGAAAGGAAGCAAAGUGGCUGUGUGUGCGGCCAGGCGUUAGUCGCCGGAAAAACUCCAGUGUGCAUUCUCCUUUCUUCUACCUCUGUCCAGUUGUGUGUGAGAGANNNNNNNNNNUCGAGUUCGUCGCUUGCCGCGCCGGGCAGGAGAACGAGAGGAAGAAGAAGAGAAAUGGAUGAUUUGGUUCGAAAUUUUCUAACUCCCGCUUAUACAGGUGGAUCUACAGUCCCGAUUCGUGGCUCGAUCCGGGACUAAAGAUCCUUUAGUCCCGGAUGGAGCCACGAACUGGGACUAAAGGCCCUUUUUCGGCUGACCAGAAGGCGGGAAGCAGGGGCCUUUAGUCCCGGGGCGUGGCUCGAACCGGGACUAAAGACCACUUUAGUCCCGGGUGGAGCCACGACCCGGGACUAAAGCCCCUUUUUCGGCUGACCAGAAGGCGGGAAGCAGGGGCCUUUAGUCCCGGGGCGUGGAAAGAACCGGGACUAAAGUUUUGCCUAUAUAAACCCUCGCCCCUGCCCACCAUAUCCCCUGUUUUUUGGUUGUUGAAGUGUGACCAUGCCAUGCUCUUGCCACUCUAGUUCAUGCACAUGACGUGUUCGAUGAAAUGCUCGAGCCACUCUACUUAAGCUUUCUCCUCUCCAAGCUCGACCUCCAAGCUCCAUUUUCCUUAAUAUUUGUCUAGGUUUGGCCGUGCACCAACUGCGAGCACCACCGUGGUGAGCCUCUUGUUCUUAUCUUCUUUUUAAAAUUAAAAAAAUCUUACUUGUAUGAAUUAUAUACAUACUUGUAUAAAUUACUCACUUUCAUUAUUUUUUGUUAUGAUAUAGUGCGAUGGUUUUGGUAUCCGCCUCCGUCGGCCCUCGUCCUGUCUAUGAUUCGGAUGUGGUAUAUAUUAUAUUUUAUAACUAUUUGUUUUAUUUAGUGUUUAUGACAAUUAUGACAUAUAUUUUUUAAUCUAGGAGGUAUGUGAACCGGAAAUUCCAACCCACAUAAAAAUUCUUGUCGAGAAGUUCAAUUUGGUUGAAAAAGAAAACAAAUACUUGAAGAAAAAAUUGAAAAUAAUUGAGGAUAAGAAUAUGGAACUGGAGUUGCAUGUCGCCGAUGUCAUCGAUGAUUGCAAGAUGAAGAUCGAUGCGAUGCGGUUGAAGAUGGAUGCAAUGCGCUUGAAGAUGGAUGAAAUGCGCUUGAAGAUUAGGAAUAUUAGAAAAUAUGCCAUUGAUAAGGAGGUUGGUAUCAUUAUGUUGUUGGGUCAAUUGUUACCUUAGUGCGAUUUUGAUCGCGUUUGUUGUUGCAUUUAAAUGUUUUACAUAGUUGUAUGUUGUUUCAUGAGAGAACUUUAUGUAUUUAUUUUUUGCAAUAAUAACAUUUGGUCACUACUGUUCUUUGGCUUUAAUGUGAUGAUGAACUUGUAUUAAUUUGGUCAUAUGUUUUGCAAUGGUUUUUUAAUAUAUUUGAUUUCAUAAUAGAGAUGAAUCGCCAAUGAUAAUAUUUAAUUUCAUAAUAUGGUUUUUUGAACUCCAUAAAAAGUUGAGAGGGCUACGACAAAAACUAGAUGCACUUCGUGUACAAAACGGACAAUCUCUCUCGAAGUAUCAGGGUUUCGAACGAGAACUUGUCUCUUACAAAGGGAUUUCAUUUUUGUGAACUUAUUUGAACUCCAUACUUUUUGGUGUGUUCAAAAUGCACCAUUCAAAGGCACAACACAAAAUUUCAACAAUUUCUGACUUCAUUUGGUAUAUUUCGUGGAUUUACUUAUUUGUUUUGAGCUAGUUGACCCUGAAAUUGAAAAGCACUACAAAUGAACUCUGAAAAUGUUGAAAGUUGGCAUGCUAUCAUCAUUUCACCCACAUAGCAUGUGCUAAAAAGUUGAGAGGGCUACGACAAAAACUGGAUGCACUUCGUGUACAAAACGGACAAUCUCUCUCGAAGUAUCAGGGUGUCGAACGAGAACUCAUCUCUUACAUGGAUAAUAUGAAAAUGAAAAGUGUUUGAAAUUUAGUACGUUCCAUACAUGCAUUACAUAAAAGGUUUAAUANNNNNNNNNNUUGGAUGCACUUCGUGUACAAAACGGACAAUCUCUCUCGAAGUAUGAGGGUUUCGAACGAGAACUCAUCUCUUACAUGGAUAAUAUGAAAAUGAAAAGUUUUUGAAAUUUAGUACGUUCCAUACAUGCAUUACAUAAAAGGUUUAAUACAUUAUUACAUUAUUGCACCAAUAUUCCUAUCUAUUAUUUCUGUUUUAUUCUGGGUCAUAGCCAUGGAGAAUCUUCAUCAUUCAUUAGGAUGCUUGGGUCAUUUUUCACUUUGAAGGGCGGAAUUUCAUGAAACUUAUUAUAAUCUUCUGNNNNNNNNNNCUUUUCUUCUGGGUCGUAGCCAUGGAGAAUCUUCAUCAUUCAGUAGGAUGCUUGGGUCAGUUUUCACUUUGAAGGGCGGAAUUUCAUGAAACUUAUUAUAAUCUUCUGACAUGUCUGUCUUGUCAUCUACUCCCACGAUGUUUCUUUUCCCUGAAAGAACCAUGUGGCGUUUUGGCUCAUCGGAUGAUAUCUUCUUUUGCUGAUUUCUUUUUCUCGUUAAUGUAGACAUGUCCUUCACAUAGAAAACCUGAGCGACAUCAUUGGCUAGGACAAAUGGUUCGUCCAUGUACGCAAGAUUGUUAAGAUCCACUGUUGUCAUGCCGUACUUUUGGUCUACAACUAACCCGCCUCCUCUCAGUUUCACCCAUUUGCACCGAAAUAAAGGAAUCAUAAAAGUAGGUCCAUAGUCAAGUUCCCAUAUCUCCUCUAUGUACCCGUAAUAUGUUUCCAAACAGUGCCCAUUCUCGUCUGUUGCAUCAAAGCAUACACCACUAUUUUGGUUGGUGCUCUUUUUAUCUUGGGCAACCGUGUAAAAUGUAUUCCCAUUUAUCUCAUACCCUUGCAAAGUACAUAUAGUCGAAGAUGGUGGCCUGGCCAAACAGUACAGCUCAUCUCCAACGGUGUCGUCAUUCAGGAGAUGUGUCUGCAACCAACUNNNNNNNNNNGAAAGUACAUAUAGUCGAAGAUGGUGGCCUGGCCAAACAAACAACUCAUCUCCAACGGUGUCGUCAUUCAGGAGAUGUGUCUGCAACCAACUGCCGAAAGUCUUCUCGUGUUCCCCUUUAAUCCAAGAGUCAGCCUUCCCCGGGUUUUCGGAGCGUAGAAUAUUCUUGUGUCUCACGAUAUACGGAGCCACCAUGGUGGAAUUGUGUAGAACUGUGUAGUGUGCUUGAGAGAAAGAAUGCUCGUCCAUACAUACUUUUGCUUUCCUUCCUAGUGUGCCUUUUCCUGUCAGCCUACCCUCAUACCGAGAUUCAGGAACACCAAUCGGCUUAAGGUCAGGAAGAAAGUCCACACAAAACUCAAUGACCUCCUCUGUUCCAUAGCCCUUGGAGAUGCUUCCUUCUGGCCUAGCACGGUUACGAACAUAUUUCUUUAAGACUUCCAUGGACCUCUCGAAGGGGAACAUAUUGUGUAGAAACACAGGACCGAGAAUUCUAAUCUCUUCGACUAGGUGAACUAGGAGGUGUGUCAUUAUAUUGAAGAAGGAUGGCGGGAACAACAACUCAAAGCUGACCAGACAUUGGACCACAUCAAUCUGUAACCCUGAUAGACUUUCUCGAUCGAUUACCUUCUGAGAAAUUGCAUUGAGGAAUGCACAUACCUUCACAAUUGCCAGGCGAACAUUUUCCGGUAGAAUUCCCCUCAAUGCAACCGGAAGCAAUUGCGUCAUAAGCAUGUGGCAGUCAUGAGACUUUAGGUCUUGGAAUUUUUUGUCUUUCAUAUUUAUGAUUCCCUUUAUAUUCGACGAGAAGUCAGUCAGGACCUUGAUACUGAAAAGGACUUCAAAGAAGAUUUCCUUCUCUUCCUUAGUAAGAGCGUAGCUGGCACGCCCUUGAAACUGCCCUGGAUGCAUGCCAUCUCUUCCUUUAUGACGUUCCUGGUCCUCCCGUGCUUCCGGUGUAUCUUUUGACUUCCCAUACAAGCCCAGGAAGCCUUGAAUAUUCACGCAGAGAUUCUUCGUCAGGUGCAUCACGUCGAUUGCCGAGCGGACCUCAUGGACUUCCCAGUAGGGUAGCUCCCAAAAUAUAGAUUUCUUCUUCCACAUGGGUACGCGCUUAUCAGGGCCGUUAGGAACAGGUUGGCUGCCAGGACCCUUUCCAAAGAUUACUUUUAAAUCUUUGACCAUAUCAAAUACUUCAGCACCAGUACGGAUGACAGGCUUCCCCCGGGGUUCUGCCUUGCCAUUGAAAUGNNNNNNNNNNAGACCCUUUCCAAAGGUUACUUUUAAAUCUUUGACCAUAUCAAAUACUUCAGCACGAGUACGGAUGACAGGCUUCCCCCGGGGUUCUGCCUUGCCAUUGAAAUGCUUGACUUUUUUCUUUAAGGGAUGCUUGGGCGGAAGAAAACAACGAUUGUACGGAUACACAUUCUUCCUACAGUUGUCGAGAUAUAUACUUUCUGUCUGAUCCAAACAGUGCGUGCAUGCAUUGUAUCCCUUGUUUAACUGUCCUGAAAUGUUACUAAGAGCAGGCCAAUCAUUGAUGGUUACGAAAAGCAACUCUCGAAGGUCAAAUUCCUCUUGUUUGUGCUCGUCCCACACACGUACACCUGGUUCGGCCCACAGCUGUAAAAGUUGAUCAACUAAUGGCCUUAGGUACACAUCAAUAUCGUUGCCGGGUUGCUUUAGACCUUGUAUAAGCACUGGCAUCAUAAUAAACUUCCGCUUCAUGCACAACCAAGGAGGAAGGUUGUAGAUACAUAGAGUAAUGGACCAGGUGUUGUGACUGCAACUCUGCUCCCCAAAAGGAUUCAUGCCAUCUGUACUCAGACCUAACCAUAAGUUCCUUGCGUCUGCUGCAAAUCUCGGGAACUCUCUCUUGAUUUUUCUCCACUGCCGACCAUCAGCGGUGUGCCUCAACUUAUCGUCUUUCAUACAAUCUUCCAUGUGCCAUCGCAACAACUUCGCAUGAUCUUUAUUUCUGAACAGACGUUUCAACCGUGGUAUUAUAGGAGCAUACCACAUCCCCUGGCAGGAACCGUCUUCCUGGGUGGCUCGCCCUCAAUAUCACCAGGGUCAUCUUUUCUGAUCUUAUACCGCAAUGCAGUCUAUACCGGGCAUUUAUCCAUAUUCUCGUACUUCUCACCUCGGUAGAGGAUGCAUUCAUUAGGGCAUGCAUGUAUCUUCUGCACGUCUAAUCCUAGAGGGCAGACAAGCUUCUUUGCUUCGUACGUGCUGGCGGGCAAUUCGUUCUUUCUUGGAAGCAUCUUCUUCAUCAGUACCAGCAACUUUUCGAAUGACGAGUCAGUCACACCGGUCUCUGUCUUCCACUUCAGCAAUUCCAGUGUGCUACCCAGCUUCUUCUGGCCAUCUUCACAAGUUGGGUACAACAAUUUGUUGUGGUCCUGUAACAUCUGCUCGAACUGCAACCUCUCCUUUUCUAUGUCGCAACCUCGCCGUGCAUCAGAAAUGACCCGGCCAAGAUCAUCAGCGGGCUCAUCUGGUUCCCGUUCUUCAUCCUGAUCUUCUUCUUCAUUGUCUUGCAUUGCGGUAUCAGCAUACUCAGGGAACAUAGAUCGGUAGUUGUCAUCAUCGUUCUCUUCUUCUUCAUCGUCGCCUUCCAUCAUAACCCCUCUUUCUCCGUGCUUGGUCCAAACAUUAUAGCCCGACAUAAAACCGGACCGAAGCAGGUGGCUCUGAAUGACUCUUGAGGAAGUGUAAUCCUUCCAAUUCGACAUUCAACACAUGGACAAAACAUAUAGCCACCACCAUGCUUGUUCGCAUUGGCUGCAUCUCGAAAAGAAUGCACGCCUUCUCUGUAAGCGGCUGUGCGUCGAUCACCGUACAUCCAUGGAUGGCUCAUCUCUGCGUUAUACGACAGUAUAUCAAAUACAAUCACGAUCCUAAAAAUUAGUACCGCACGAUCUAAACGAGGAAAUAUAGUUGCUAACCUUUUAGAAUAAGUAGAAAUAAAGAGGAAGAGGUUUAAGCGUGGCUUGGGCAUCUCAUAUCGUAGUUGUAUUCGGUGAACUGAAGCGGCAUCGCUCUAACACACAUUUCAACAAACACCUCUAGUGCAUAAAAAAAAGUGGAGAGCAAGCACCCACCCACAAUCCUCCAUCCAAUAAAAAUGCAACGAAGAGGGGAGAGGGGGGCUGUGCUAUAUAUAGGCAGAGGACUUUAGUCCCGGUUUGAGACACAAACCGGGACUAAAGGUGGCGCACAUGCGGGCUGCCCACCGCGUAGCCCUUUACUCCCGGCUUGGGACACGAACCGGGACUAAAGGCUCCUUACGGGCCGGGACUAAAGCCUCGAGGGAGGAUAUGAGAAUUGGGGCGACGUAGCCGGGCCUUUAGUUCCGGCCCAGAGGCAGGCCGGGACUAAAGGGUACAGGCCAAAGGCCCGGUUUCUACUAGUGUAUGUGUCCAGCCCUGCCAACGAGCCAGUAUAAUACACCAGAGUACGAAAGAUAUAAUAUACACAUGAAAUCAAAACCAUACAGCUCUUAUAUGUGUCUCCCGUGACCGUGAUGAUCAGGGUAUGCCAGCCCCUAGAGCUUCCAUGCCAGAUAUAUUCCUUUGUCCGAUGCUAUGCUCCAGAUUAUUAUGGCCACACUUGUAAACCAAUCAAAUAUUUAUAUGCAAACAGCAGACAACAUGCAUAUAGGAGUAUCUUCUUGGAAACUAAAGGAAACUCUCAUGGCACAGCUCCCAGGAUUUUGUUCAUUAGUGAAGAGCAGAUUAAGCUCCAAUGAUGAAUGUCACACACGUAACAUGCCAGUACAAUAAUGGUUGCACAUGAGUUUUGGAAACUACCACGGCAAGAAUGAAACUAAUUACCUCGAUUGAUAAUGACAUGAACGAGGCACUUGCACACCACACCCGGUCUAUAAGUACCACCCCCAAACAACCCAAGAAAACCAUCCCAAGCUACCAUAGCCUACAAGCUUAAUUAGCCAUAUACCAGCACGAUCCAUCAGUAGCAAUGGCGCCUUCCAAGCUCGCCUUCUUCCUCGCUCUGAACCUGGUCCUCCUUGCCGCCGUGCAGGGCUGCGGUCCCUACUGCCCACCGGUCNNNNNNNNNNGGCGCCCUCCAAGCUCGCCCUCUUCCUCGCCCUGAACCUGGUCCUCCUUGCCGCUGUGCAGGGCUGCGGCCCCUACUGCCCACCGGUCGUCCCCACCCCGCCGAUCCUCCCACCACCCGUGCCGUCGACCGACGGAGGCAGCUGCUCGAUCAACACGCUGAAGCUGGGCGUGUGCACCAACGUGCUGAACCUGCUGAAGCUUAAGAUUGGCGUGCCGGCGAACGAACAGUGCUGCCCACUCCUGGGCGGGCUCGCCNNNNNNNNNNGCUGCUCGAUCAACACGUUGAAGCUGGGCGUGUGCGCCAACGUGCUGAACCUGCUGAAGCUCAAGAUCGGCGUGCCGGCGAACGAGCAGUGCUGCCCACUCCUGGGCGGGCUCGCCGACCUCGACGCCGCGGUGUGCCUCUGCACCGCCAUCAGGGCCAACAUCCUCGGCAUCAAGCUCAACGUCCCCAUCGACCUGACCCUCCUCCUCAACCAGUGCGGCAAGAAGUGCCCAACCAACUUCACCUGCCCCAUCUGAUGCAUCCAUCCAUUGCAUGGGCUCCCUCGCUCGUGCAUGCAUGCUUGAUAAGCUCGUGAUUGAUCAUCAGGGUCAUUGUAUCCCGUUAUGGUAUCUAAAUGCACGAUUUGCAUAUUUGUAAAAGGAUAUACAUACUUGUACACGCACCUUGGAAUAUAAAAUUUGUUCAAGUUGGGGUUUUCUCUCUUCCCUCUCGGCUGGAACCCUAGCCCUCCUCGUCAAGAGAAAAGAUCAUCCUAGUGUAUGUAGCUUAGUAAAUAUACCCUAGCCCUCCUCGGCACAAAAAAUCUUAUGUAACUUAGGAACAAGGCAGGAUCUAAGAAUCAUUUUUNNNNNNNNNNCAACACGUUGAAACUGGGCGUGUGCGCCAACGUGCUGAACCUGCUGAAGCUCACUCCUGGGCGGGCUCACCGACCUCGACGCUGCCGUGUGCCUCUGCACCGCCAUCAGGGCCAACAUCCUCGGCAUCAAGCUCAAUGUCCCCAUCGACCUCACCCUCCUACUCAACCAGUGCGGCAAGAAGUGCCCCGCCAACUUCACCUGCCCCAUCUGAUCCAUCUAUCCAUGGAUUUACUCGUAGCUAUAUAUUGCAUGUCAUACGCGCGCACCAUAUGUCAGGACUUUGCAUGGGCUCCCUCGCUCGUGCAUGCAUGCUUGAUAAGCUCGUGAUNNNNNNNNNNNNNNNNNNNNNNNNNNNNNNNNNNNNNNNNNNNNNNNNNNNNNNNNNNNNNNNNNNNNNNNNNNNNNNNNNNNNNNNNNNNNNNNNNNNNNNNNNNNNNNNNNNNNNNNNNNNNNNNNNNNNNNNNNNNNNNNNNNNNNNNNNNNNNNNNNCUACUUGUACACGUACCUUGGAAUAUAAAGUUUGUUCAAGUUGGGUUAACUCGACUCGUGAUAUGCCAGCUUGAGUUGUAUAUUCAUGCAUGAUUGCAUCAAUCAUGAUCAGAUCCACAUCUUUCCACAUGCAUUAGCUACAUC
rnacentral:lncRNA from 1 species